rnacentral:lncRNA from 1 species
GAACAGAAGAACGCACUAGAAUUUAUUUAAUAUGGUAAAUCACAGAUCACCAUAGAUUCAUAUAUCUAGGUAUAAUCAAUCACAGAUCACCAUAGAUUCGUAUAUCUAGGUAUAAUCAAAGGCGUAUUUACAUCUCCAAGUUCAUAAAAAACAAAGAAAUCAGAAGAUCAACAUUUGAUAAUCACAGCCGAUGACGAUGACGAUGACGAUGAUAUUUAUGAUCUUCAGUCUUCGUUCUUAAUAGGAUCUUCAUAGUUGGGAUCAUUUACGUCGAGAGCUUCUUUGGGGAUCCGUCCUAGCUCAACAUCAGAGUAACCGUCACCGGACCACGUGAACUUGCCGCCAUGGCCACCUUUCUUCGGCGAUCCAUUCAUGCCUGUAGCCGAUUUCCUGUCUCUCCUGAUCUCCUGACCGUUGCCGGCCUUCACAUUUGUCUUGGAGCUUUUGCCGGAAUUCCUCAUCUGUCUCUCUCCACUCGUGGCUCUUCUGUAGCUACUCUAUCAAUUGAAGCGAGUGAGAACAGGAAACCCAGGUUGGCAGAAUUUAUAGGAAGCUGGGGUGGUUUGUACAUUGGGAGCGGUAUUUUAAUCGCGACCUUGUGGGCUGAUCAUGUAACGUGACAGCGACCGUAACAAAUGGAUAAGAACGGACUAUUCUUUCUUUUUUUUUUCUUUUUUUUUUUUUUUGGGGGGGGGGGGGGGGUAUGGGAACAAACUCGUCGGUUUUCUUUACUAGCCAAAUCAAUGAUCAUACACUCACAUUAGCACAUUUGAGCAUUGGGCAGUGGUUGUUGGAAUUUAACAUUUUUUUAAAAAAUUUGAAAUUCUCAUUACUUGAUUAAAAUUUGUAAAUUUUAAAAAGAAAAUGCUGUAUAUAGCUACACCUUGCCAUUGGUUUUUUUUUUGUUCAAUAGAAAGGGUUUUGACUCAUUUCUUUUGUAUUCCUGCACAUCAUUACUCAACUAUGGCAUUCUAGCUUUAAUGUAAACCCUUUGGCUUUGGUACAAAUAAACUAUAGGUCAAUUAGAACUCCACCAUAACCCAGAGAGAAGGGUCUUCACACGCUUUGACCAGGACAAGAAGCUGGAUAUACAAAACGGAAUUGAUGUAAAUUUGCAAUGAUUAUCGAUGAAUGUACCAGUGCCUAAAGAAUUUUUUACGAAUUUUUUUUGUGAAAAAAAAGAAUAACAAAAAACUUAUCCCACCAGUUUUUUUUUUUUUAGUUAUUAAUGUACAUAUUUAAUGCAUUUCCUUCAUGACAUUGAUGUUAGACCAAAUUGUUAUUCUUGACUUGUACCCAAAGACACUCACAAUAAGUCAAGUCCUGAUAUUGGAACUUCUUAUAUAUUUGAAAAAAUAAAAACUUUAGGAAAACAGUAAUUGUUUGCUUAACUUCUGCUAUGCAAAUGAAUCGUUUACUAUUUUCUACAAACAUUCCCUUAACUUCUUGUACCAGUUUGCUGGUUAAUUAUUUCACUCAAAGCCCUGCUCCAGAGAUUGUUAAACUCAAAAUGACUGAGGGCCUCGGGCAGCAUGGAAACCAAUGCCAGUAUAAUUAAUGGAGUUCAGAAAUAAUACCUAUUUAAUGGAGUUUGUUUGGAUAGGAAGAUUUGCAAAAAAAAUUAAAAUUAAAAUUUAUUCUAUUUACAUCAUAAAUAUAAUUUUCAAUUAUCUUUUUAUCUCGCAUGCAUUGCAUCACAAAAAAAGUGCUAUAAUAAUUAUUUUAAAUAACCUCAUAUCUCAAAUGCAUCACAUCUCAAAUGUAUCCCAGUCGCUUUCAAUUUGAUUCGCGAUUAUAGUAUUGAAAAAACAUGGCACGAAUCGAAUGGAAGAAAAUGAGAAUCGUCCUAUUGUCAAUAAUUAUUCACUCUCUUUUUCUUCCCCAUCACCCUUCAAUUUUUUCACGAGGAGCAGAGGCGGAGGCAAGUGUAACUGAGGGUAGGCAAUUACCCCAUCUUCCCCUCCCCCCUUCCCCGGGCAACAAACCUCCUCUUCAAUUUUGAGAUAUUUUCUUUUCAAGCUUAGAAUUUUUGAAAAAUUUUAAGUUGUUCCUUAUUUGAACCCCUUGAAAUUUUUCAAAAUUUCAUUUUUAUCUACUUUGCCCCGAUAUUUGUAUAAAAAUCUCUUUCUUAUCUAUAUUGUCUCCCUAAAGAACUUUUAAAUAUUUAUUUUUCAUUUACAUUGACUGCUCUUAAUAAAUUAAAAAUUUUUAAUUUUUACACUUCACAAGAAGUUGGAUAUAAUUAAAAUUAGUUAUUCAUGUAAAUUUAACAAUAAACUCUGUUAACGUUUCCAAACUACCACUACAUUGUAGUACAAUUUAGAUAUCAAAAUAUAAUUGACAUAAUGAUAAAAAUGUAUGCUUAACAUAAAUGCCUUUUAGUUAUAAAUUUACUAUAACUACAAUUGAUGUGGCGUCAAAAAUUGAAAUCUCAAAUCCUAGGGCCCUAAUUCUGAGCAAGGUGGGGCUUCAAAUCUUUUAUUCCCAAAGUAGUCUCUGUCCCAUCUGUCUCUUAUUUGUACAGCUGACACGUGUCUCUAGCAUUUUGUUAACCCAAACUUAAAUAAAUCGAUAAUAAUCAGUUUAUAAGUUUACUCAAAAUCAAUUAAAACCAUAGUUAUUAAACCCAAUCCGGGAAGGAACCCGGCGAAGGAGGUGGGUCAACGGGUUACUGGUUGAACCGGUGGGUGAGUGGUUGAACCGGUGGGUCACUACAUAUAUUUAAAUAUUAUAUUUCAUAAUUAUUUAUAUAAGAUAUAUGAUAUAAAUUGUAAUAAAUAAUGUCAUAACAAAAGCUCAUUUAAUUUAAUUUGUUAUAAAAUAAUUAAUUCAUAUAAGAAUCAAUCAAAUAUAAAGUUAUUUAUUAAUAUACCAAUCUUCAAGUGUAAAAUUUUAUCUAUAUUUAGUGUAAUUAUCUAGCUUAUUUAUGAAUUUUAAGUGUAAAAAUUUAUUAAAAAUAAUAUUUGUCUUUAAAUGAAUUAUGUAAUAUGUUAUUUUUGGAAUCCAUUUUAUAACUUAUAGAGUUUGGAGGGUAAUAAAUUUUUAUUAAAAGAUUCCAAAUAAAUUUGUUUUAGAGAAAAAAAGAUAGAAUUGAAAAAACAUUUAUAUAUCAUACUAAAGCUACUAUAUCAAUAUAUUUGGAAGUGGUUUGGUGGUAAGCAAGCGGUAGUGUGAGGGCAAAGGUCGGAAGUUCGAGUCCCAACAAUAGCAAUAUAAUUUUUCCACAAAAUCCGGUUAGUGACAAAACCGGCCAAAACCGGCCGGGUUUCCGGUUUAACCCAGUUCGACCGCCGGGUCGUUGACUAAGUCAACGGUCUGUGUGCACAAACGAUCUGAUUCCAAACCCGGCCCGGUCCAAUGACCGGUCCACCGGUUUGACCGGUUCGACCGCGCGGGCCGGGCCGGGUUUAAUAACAAUGAUUAAAACAGAUAACUCAAAACUUUUUUUAUUUUCUUUUUUAACAAAAAAGAGUCUUGUUGAUCAUAAACAUAGAAAUCAACUGAAACUCUUCUUUAUUUUUUACUCCAAAUCAACAAGACUCUUUAUUGUUAAAAAAAAAAUUUUAAAAAGUUUUGAGUUAUCUGUUUUAAUUGAUUUUGAGUAAACUUGUAAACCAAUUAUUAUCGAUUUAUUUGAGUUUGGGUUAGACACGUGACAGCUGUACAAAUAAGAGACAGAGGGGACAGAGGAUUUGAAGCCGCAAGGUGGCUUUCCCGUGAUCCUUCAAUUGUUCCAUAAGAAAUAGUUAUGCUCUUUGCAUGUUUUAUAAUAGCUAUACAAUAACUAUACAACAUAUAAUGCCUAAGUCACAGUUGUUGGUGUAAAAUGCCUUUGGUCAUCUUUUAAACUUUCUAUUUUAUCCUUAUAAAGAUUAAUCUAUACGAUACAAUAUAUAAUGCUUGAGUAAUGAUAACUGGCGAAAAUUUUUUGUUGUCUUUUAAACUUUCAAAUUUGUCCUUAUAAAAAUUAAAUUUUAUUAUAAUCACCUAAUUACAUUUUGCUAAUAUAACCCCUCAUAACCACCAUAAAAUAUUGUAACUACCAAAUUAUUGUAAUCGUAUAAGCCAAAACUUUUUUUCAUGAAAAUUUUAUGCAAAGUUUUUGUAUGCAACAAACAAAAAUUUAUACAAAUUUGAUCUAUUUUAAUUAUUCCCGAAUUCCGCACACAUGAGGUGUGCCCUUAAUGCGAGUUUAUGAUAAUUGCAACUCCACUGUCUAUCAUAUUUAUUACAUUUGCCAGAAAAUUCUUCUGGUGAUAAGAAAAAAGUUGUUUAAAAGUGGCAGCAACGAGUUAAGAGUGAUAUGUUUCACUAGGUGCCUAAUUAAACAGGGAAUAAAUAGAUUUUUGGAAGAUAAUUGGUUGACAUCAAUGAAUUCAAUAUCCAAGAAGCUUAUUCCUGAUAUGUGGGCUAGCAACUGUUAAUGUGGUCCUCAAUAUAUUCUGUUUAUUUUCGUUAUUUUUGGGUUGUUGGGAAAUAUUUAUUAUAUUGAUUUGCUUCUUAUCAUGGACUAAAGUUUUGGUUUAGAAUAGAUUUUCUUUUUCCUCAUUUAGAUCCAUGGACUAAAUUGAAACUAGUCAGAGCACCUAGUUAAACUGCAAAAUCAAGGACUAAAACUAAUUAAUUCUAUAUCCCUAUUUACCCAAAGCCAAUAAAAAAAAAACCCCAUUUACUUAAAUUUUUUUGGUAUAAUUUAACAAAAAUAAAAUUUUCUGGGUUAAUUAGUUAUUAUAACGACUUAACGUGCCAAAAUCCGGUCCAACGAUCCAAGACACCCGUAAACUACCGAACCCGGUUGAUUGGCUGACAUGGCCAAUCGUGAUUGGAGGUAACCCCCACGCAACAGCACCUCUCCCGACCACUCCCAAAACCCUACCGUUCGUCGAAUGGUAAAAGGGGGAAUAAAAAUAGAAAUUUCCAAAACCUCUCAACAAAUACAAAGGAGAAAGCCGAGGAAAGUAUAAUGACCGCUGCGUUGUAUGCCUACUUAUUUCCGACGGCGGCCUCUCCCUCCCAAUUUGCUCCUCCCAAGCUUCUCUUCUCUUCAAAAUUCUCUCAAAUCCCUCCUCAUUUCUCCCACCUUUCAACCCGUGAGUCUCUCUUCUUCUUCUCUCCAAACGUUUUGCAUCAGCUCUUACACUUAUUUUUAUCUCGUAUGACUAUUGUUUUAGUUGUUUAAUUAUCCUAAAAUAUAAGAUAAUUUAGUCAGUUACUUGUAAUUAUUGAAAUACCAAUGCUUUUUAUCUGCUAGGAAGACGUGCACUUUUUACUACUCCAAUUUAGUAGUUUAGAAAGAGCUGCUACUUUUAGUUUUAUGUUCGAUUAGAUUCAAGAGUUACUGAUGCAAAUUUGGGUAGCAUGGCGUGUGCAAUGUACUUGAUUUUCGCUACGUCAUACAGCUGCAAUUCUGUGGCUUAAUUAUUGGUGCUUUGGUGGGUGCAUUGGUUUGUUGGAGAGAGUUGUGUCUUUCUAAAAUGAGGUCGUGUGUUCUUGGGCAGCAGCUCUUUUUUAUUACGUUUAUGUUUCCUUUCUUUUUCAAUUAUCUUUGAAACUGAAACCUUUUAGACGUUUUUAGUUUUCAAGGGAAAAAUGAAAAUUAGCAUUGUUGAAGUGGUUUUAAAAUAAUGGUGGGGGGAUAAUAUGUUGAUGAAAUCAACAUAUAAUAGACGCUUGACAGGUUUGUGGUUAUUUGUCUGUCACUUGAAGAUAAUAUGUUGAUGAAUUGAGAAUUUUUGAGUCAUUGUAUUCUUUUUGAAUGAUUUAGAAAUUAAUUUUUAUGGGAUGUUUGAUAUCGUUACUUGUUCUUUGUGCUAACCUGUUAUUUUGGUGUGGUUAUUGUGAAACUAGACAGGUAUUCUGAGAACAGCUAGUAGGCCUUUCUCUGUGGCAAAACUGCAAUCUGUAUCAUCCAUGGCAGAGGUAAUUUUUCAUUAGUAUGUGCAACAUAAAUGACUACACAGUCACAGAAAAGACUGCAUAUAUUGAUAGGUGUUUGCUUUUGGAGAAUGUGACAUUUAAUAUGACAGUUCACUGAGCUGGGUAGGAAAAUUGGGGAUUUUUGAUCAACAAUUUGGAGAACUUAAGGUAGUGGUUGGUAGCCUGUAUGAUUUAGAUGUAAUCCAUAUGCACACUUACUGAAUGGAGGCUAGUGCAAAAAAGAUUGGCUUAUACCCAUCUCUGCACCUUGAUAUGUGUUUCCUUUGGAGGAUUUGACGUUCAGCAUUAUACUUCACUGUGCAGGUUAUGGAGAGAGUAGGGAGUGUUAAGCAACAAUUACAGAGACUAUUUGGAGAAGCCUUCAGAGAUAAAUUUCCUGAUGAGUUAGAUAUAGUUCCUAUUAUUACUCCUUGCAAAGAUCUAAGACACGGCGAUUAUCAAUGGUAUGCAAAAGCUUCUCAUAUUCACAAAUGGUGUAUUAGAUUGUCUAUGGAUGCUAAUUGAUUGGUUUUGCAUUGAAAUGUUGGUCUGUUGUGUGUGAAAUUACAACAUUUCCAUGCCUAGAAUCUUUUUGCAUAGCAUUUGUUCCCUGCAAUGCUGAUUGAGGAAACUAUUCUUUUGGUCCAGCAAUAAUGCAAUGAGCUUAUUUGCGAAAAUUAAAGGCAGAGUUCCUGAAUUCAAGAAACCGCAGGCUGUGGGACAGGUAUUCAUGGUUUCAUUUUAGUAUCACCCAAAUCUAGAAUGACUAUUGUGACAUAAAAGUUAGGUCCUUUUAUUAAAGCAUGAAGAUUCAGUUGUUCUCAUUCCAUUUGUAGGCAAUCAUGGACAGUCUUCCUGAUUCAGAAAUGAUUAGGGGGUGCACAAUAGCAGGACCUGGCUAUGUAAACGUUACAUUGUCAACAGAAUGGAUGGCAAAGGUAUUUAGCCUUUCUUAAUUUCACCAAGUGUUGUCAGUAGUUUUAUGUUUCAUAUGGAUACUAAAUGUUCCCAAAUUUGCAUUGCUGUGUAAUUAUUGCUGGAUGGGUAGAAACAAUAAUAAGUGAUAAUAUUGGCAAUGAUGAUAAUAAUGUUAUCAUUCUUCCUGCAGAGAAUUCAUAAUAUGCUUAUUGAUGGUGUUGAAACAUGGGCGCCAGAACCUCCAGUCCAAAGGGCAAUAGUUGAUUUUUCCUCACCUAACAUAGCAAAAGAGAUGCAUGUUGGGCACUUAAGAUCUACCAUUAUUGGAGACACACUGGCCCGUAUGCUGGAGUUUCAAAAUGUUGAAGUUUUUAGGAGAAACCAUGUUGGUGACUGGGGAACACAGGUUAUGGCAAUUUUGGCUACAUGUCUAAUUUUCCACUUGGUUCUUUUACUUUUGCCUUGUGGCCAAUGUGAUUUUCGGCAUUUUUUGAUUUGUUUACAUCUAUUAGUUUUGCUUCUUAUUUGCUCUACCUUCAAAGUAUUAAUUGUGGAAAAUCUAGAGAUCUGUUUUUUGGUUGUUCGGAUUGGAGAUGUCCAUGGAUCGUAGUCUCCUUGGUAUUAUUUGUUUGUCAUUUUGCUAUACCUUUUUAGAUGGUUUCCACCCAAUCUAUUUUCCCAUCUUUUACCUUAUAGGAACGGUGUAAAAGUAGGCAGAUUGCGCAAGGGGGUUUCACUUGUCACAAGCAGUCUGAUAGGCUUGGUUAUUUGUUUAUAUUAUCUGUUAUCCACGAACCUAACUUGUCACAUUAGUUUGUAUUAAUAUAGCUCUGUAAGCGACUUCACAAAUUAAGUUCCAUCUCCUGUCCUGCAUGAUGUAUUUCUACUGAUGUGACAAUCAUGUGUGAUCGAUUGUGACCAACUCUUUGGUUACCCCAUUUAUUUGAAUCCUAUUUUUUAUUAUUUGUUUUGCAGUUUGGCAUGCUGAUAGAAUAUCUAUUUGAAGAAAAUCCUAACUGGGAGGCUGCUCCAACUGAAGCCAUUGGAGAUCUACAAGUGAGUGCAAGAUAAAAUAUGACUAUUCAUGAUUUUUUACUUGUUUCAUAUUAUUCUGUUGAGAGGUGGUAAAUAUUUUCAAGGAAUGGCUUGCUUUUAUAAUGCAUUUGGGUACACAGGUCUUAUUGAAUUCAUUUUUUAAUAAAAGAAUUUAUCUGGGAAAAUAUUCAACUUCUACUAUUUAUGUUGUUUCCUCCUCAGGACAGUAGGUGGGUACUAUGAUGCAGAUGGAAAUUCACGUUAUUUUAAAUGCACUUGUUUAGCAGAUUCCUGUUGGUUCGUGAGUCUUUGUAGCUGUUCAAUUUUACAAAACACGAUCAUCUGAUGUCUAUUAAAUUGUUACCAUUUUCAGGAAUUUUAUAAAGAAUCAAAGAAGAAAUUUGAUGCCGAUUCUGAUUUUAAAGAGAGGGCCCAGAAAGCAGUAGUCAGUCUUCAGGUGAAUCACCUCAAUUUUGUAGUUGAAGCUUCAGUAGUGCGUGAUUUUGAUGUUCAUAAAUCCAUUCAUGCUAAAGGUUUUUGUAUUCCUUCGUUUGUUUGUUUGAGGAUUCAGGUUAUCAAUAUAUUGAAGUUGAUUUAGUGGUUGUCCUUGUUGGCAAUUCUAUUGUCAUGCUGUAAGUUAAUUUUUGUAACAGGGAGGAGAAGAGAAGUAUCGGAAGGCAUGGGCACAGAUCUGUGAAACUAGUCGAAGGGAAUUUGAUAAAGUUUAUCUGCGGCUAGGUAUUAAGUUGGAGGAGAAGGUAUGGAAUGGAAUGUUUGCAGUUUUGUAGCUUUACAUGAUGAAACGAACACUAAAUAAGCAAUGUAUGUCUUGCAUUCCAGUUGAGUGUUUGAGAAGUCUCUUUCCACUGGCCUUUGACUGCCUAGGUUUGAUCAUUUUCUAAUGCAAUUUGGUCUCUACAACUUAUGGGUCCUGUACUUUUUGUGAUUCAACUAGGUGUUUUUAAAUUGGGACACAUGUAUAAUAUAUUGACAAUGACAAAUGGUCGUCUAGGAUGAAUACACUUUGUGACCUGGUUUUCACAAAGGCCACUCUUUAUCUGUAUGUAUUGUUAAUCAUUUUUCUAUCUUCCAUCAUAAUGACAACAAACAUGAGGGAGUACUCGAGUCCUGGAAUAUACAGGAGGACAAAUAUGCAGUUUUAGUUAUAUUGGCUUGUAAAUGCCAAUGGAGAGGAAAGGGAGGAAAACUGUGGGUGCUUGUCUCGAAUAUGGGAGACAUCUCUGUCUCCCAUAUUUGAUCUUUUUAAAAAAAAAUUUUGUAUGCUUUAGUUAAUAGUUGAUGACUAAGCCAGAAUGCAUUAUACUUGGUAUUUUGUUUAAAUUCUAAUGAUUGUGCCUUCGGAAUUAUGUACACAAUAGCUUAAAAAUGCAUUAGUUUUUAAAUUGGGAAGUUUUGCAUAUGUCUUAGUUGACUUGGAGUGUGUAGGGACUAGUGUAGUCUUUGUUCUUGACUGUGCACAUGCCCAGGUUUAUUUAUCUCUUCUCUCUUCUUAUUAGGGGGAAAGCUUUUAUAAUCCAUAUAUCCCAACGGCUUUAGAGCUAUUGAGUAAAGAGAACUUAAUUGAAGAAAGUGAAGGUGCACGCGUUAUCUAUGUUGGCGGGAUCACAAGACCUCUUAUUGUUGUGAAGAAGGAUGGUGGUUACAACUAUGCUUCAACUGAUCUUGCUGCUUUGUGGUUUGUUUUCACUUUUUGGAUGUGUUUGUUAAUGGGAUUAACAUUCACUGUCUACUUUUCUUUUAAUAGUAUUGUAGAUCAACUGUUUUAUGCAUUGCAUGUGGCUGAACUUUUUUAAAAAAAAAGUGUGUUAUACAUAUAACUACUUAUAUAGAUUUUUUGACAGAGUAUAAUAUGGAUUAAAUUAUCUUGUAUGAUUAUUUUGUUAUUGAUUUGUGAGUUUGUCACAUUGCCCAUAUUAGAUGACUUUUGCUGCUCGUCAUUGUCUUGCAAUUUCGUCUGUGUUCUUAUAGGCAUAGACUUGAGAGGUUUAUUUUUCCAAAAAGUGAAAGAAGUAUGAGGGUCAAAUUUGAAAAACUAGUUAAUCAAUCCUGGAUACCUUAUUCUUGUAAGUUCUUGGAAUCUCUGUAGGUGAAUACAUGCUGGUCAAGCAUUAGUUUAAAACCACAGAUUAUUCAGUCUGUAGCUAAAUCUGGAAGUCUGGAAAGAGUAGCCGUGGCUACGAGCUCAAAAUACCUGCUUUACAUGACUGAAAUAUGCCACCAUUCUAUAUAUAUUUGUCACAUAAGAGAAUCUAGACAAGAUUACUUCGAAUGCAUUUUUAAUCAACCUUUGCGUGCACUGUUUGGUUGCUUCUGCCUCAAUUAUCAAGCAACUAUGUUAAACCAGACUCGAGUUAGCCCUGCUGUACCUGUGUCCUACUCUUCAUUUUGCACUAGAGUAGCUGUUUUUUGGGGGGGGCGCACCCAUACCCAAGUCCAGGAACAUAGUCAAGCUAGCUAACAUAUUUGAUAGUGGCUAGUAUGCGAUUUGCCUAAUAGUGCACUUAGUGUGAACAAUGAUUUUCGGCCUGUUCAUAAGAUGUUGCAAUUUAUUACCAUUGGUGCAUGAGAACGUGAUUAAGAAAGGACUGUUCUGUGUCAUCCUACCUAGCCCUAGACCCCUGAUGAGGAAAUUAUUAAGAUGAGGAGAAAGUUCAUAAGCUCCUAUUUAGUUGGCAUCUUUCAAACAAAUAAUGCACGUAUUAACUUCAAAGUUAAUCUCUUGUGAAAUGUUACCUUUACAAGGUUUUGUAUACUAAAUGUUAGGGGAUUCAUCCCUUUAUAACGGAAAUUUGCCUAAAAUUGCAUUGAUUCUUCUUCCUGCUAUCUUUCCUCUGUGAUUUGGCAUGCCAUGCUCCUAACCAGAGUUGCCACCUGCUUACAAUUUUAACUAAUGAUGUCAAGAGCAGUUCCAGAACUAUCAUUUGGGCAAGGUUGGGGUUUUGUCAGGGGUGGUGUAAGGAGGGGUGGAGGCCCAGGUGCUAGGUCCUGCUGCAUAUUUCUUAUGUGUCUUUUUAUGCUGUGAUGUUUCAUAGCCCAAGAGAAGCAGGUUAAAUGCAAAUUGUUUGCCAUUAUAAUGGCGUUAAGCUUUUGCUUCAAGUGUCAAAAGGCAUGAUAGUGAGGGUAGGUUAUUUGAGAGUAAAAAAAAAAAGAAUUUGGCUUGUACCAUGCCCUAUAGAUUAUAAUUCAGAAAGACUGUUUUCUCUAACAUUUAUUUGAUGACUACCUAUAAAGAGAUAGGCAUUGAAAUUUUAUAUUGGUGUCUUAAUUUACAUGUGACUUUUAGUAGUAGGAAUAUUUGUCUAAUUAUUGAGGUUUUCUGCCUGCAAUUUGUAGGUAUCGGCUCAAUGAAGAAAAAGCAGAAUGGAUCAUAUAUGUAACUGAUGUUGGCCAGAGGGAGCACUUUGAAAUGUUUUUUGCUGUAAGUAAUUCAUAUCCCGAUAGAUGCUGCAUCCCACCCCCUAACCCUGGAAAGGAAAAAAUUUAUUUGUUUGAUCGGUUGAUCUUUGUGCAAUUAUCUUCUAUUCUAGGCUGCCAGACGGGCAGGUUGGCUUCCAGCUGAAGAAGAUAAGUAUCCCAAAGUCAGCCAUGUGGGUUUUGGUCUUGUUUUAGGAGAAGAUGGAAAGAGAUUCCGUACGCGAGCUACUGAAGUUGUUAAACUAGUUGAUUUACUUGAUGAAGCUAAGAAUCGGUGUAAAGCAACUCUGAUUGAAAGAGGUAAGGAUGUUAUCGAUGAACUGUUUUUCUUAAUAUGUGACCUCUCAGGCUACUUUUGGCACAUAUCAUGCUCGAGUUUUGUCAAUGCCUCCUUUCUACUCCACUUUCACCCUGUAAGUAUCUGAAUAACCUUUAACUCCUUGAACCAUGAUAAAUGUUUGAAUAUUGAUCAGGCAAAGCUGAGAAAUGGACUGGGGAGGAGCUUGAGCAAACUGCUGAAGCUAUUGGAUAUGGGGCUGUAAAGUAAGUUCCUAUUGCUUGUCCACUUGUUUGUUCGCACUUUCUUGAAGUUUCCCCACUUCUAAGUUUUAUCUUAAUAGUGAUUUUGUUGGAUGUUAAUCAGGUAUGCUGACCUAAAGAACAACAGGUUAACCAACUACACGUUCAAUUUCGAUCAGAUGCUUAAUGACAAGGUGCGGCGCUUGAUUUCUUCUCUUAUGCAACCAGUAUUCAUGUUUUUCUUUAUAAUGCAUUUCUCCUUAUUCUUCCAAAGUUCUGCAUUCUUUGUUCAUUACAUCAAACAAGAAAUAGUUGGCUCCUCACCAAUAUAAUUUCUGAAUUGCAUAUUGUCACUUGAAGUCUUCAUGACUAUGCCUAUCAAUCUAAUUACCCAUCUUGUUUCUACAAGCCUCUGAUGCUUUUUUUUUUUUUUUAAAUAAAUCUUCUACCCUGUUACCAUACAUAUAGUAUUGCUUGUUUUUAUAUUGAACAGGGAAAUACUGCUGUCUAUUUGCUGUAUGCACAUGCUCGAAUUUGUUCAAUCAUCAGGAGAUCUGGUAGAGAUGUAGAGGAGUUGAAAAAGGUAGAGGUUCUUCUUCUUCUUCAUGCUUACAACAGUAGAGUAUUUGAAUUAUAAUGGUGAAUUUUCCAAUGUAUUCUUCUAUAUUCAAGAACCUUGAUCACGAAGUCAACUUUGGUGAUUAGCCAGUAUGAUUUUGUUGGAUUACAAAGUGGAAGAAGUGGUUUCCAAUGAUUUUACUCAAUAGUAAACACCCCAUCUGCAAUUCGUGUUUUGUGUGUUGUACACGUGUUCUGCACAUGUCUCUGCCUUGUCUGAUGAACGACUUGGUCUAAUGUACACAAAUUUUUUUGGAUUGAAGAGUAAAGUUCAGUCCUUAACUUAGAGGAAGAAGUCUAGAAGUUAAGAAUCAAGUAAUAAAUUCAGAGCCUUUGCUAACUCAGAGCCUUUGGAGUAGAAGUUUCAGAUUAGAGCUUUAUGGUGAUAAUCUGCGACUUAGAACUCAUAUGCUUUCUGCUCUUACUGUGCUAUCAGAUGAAUUGACUAUCCAUUUGGAUUUUUAUUUGUUGCUCUUUUUCUCUUCUUAUGAAAAAGUGCUUAUGAUGUAUUACAAGAAUGACAAUCUUUUUUGGAUUUAUUCAAAAGCCUAACCCUACUCUGUUUUGGAUAAAGCAAUGCAGCUUCUUUGAAAUUUUCAGUAUUUACUGAAAAUUGAACCUAGCCUUGGAUGACAGUCUUCUGUCUAUAAAAAAUCAACUAGGAGCCUGCCCGAGUAUUUUUUCAGGGAAUGGUGGCUCGAUGCUGAGAAAUAUGCUUUGCCUGGAAUGCUGGCUUCUUACAUCAUACUUCAUCUGUUUUGGGCAGGUUGGAACAGUUGAUUUGGCUCAUCCAGAUGAACGGGUUUUGGGGCUUCAUUUGCUACAGUUCCCAGAGGUAUGCCUCAAGACUGCAGAUUUUGCAAAAAUUUAUCUGAUUGAUAUAGCUUUUUUCACUUAAAAACAUGUUGCAUCUUGUUAAUGUGUUCCUUUUUCACAUUGCAGGUGGUUGAAGAGGCAUGUACAAAUAUGUUGCCAAACAUUUUGUGUGAAUACCUGUACAAUUUGUCUGAAGACUUCACAAAAUUUUAUACGAACUGUCAGGUAUGGAGCCCAUAUAAUGAUGAGAUGAAGAGGAUAAAAUUGGAAGAUAAUGCUUGUCUUAAUCUCAAAUGGCUUCAAUGAGUACCUUGCAUGUUUUAUGGUUUCGAAGUUGUUACAGGCGUUUGAUUUGAAUUUGUCCUGGUGAAAAAUCUGUAGGUGGUUGGGUCACCACAGGAGAUCAGUAGACUCUUGCUUUGUGAGGCAACUGCAGUUGUCAUGCGAAAGUGCUUUUUUCUGCUGGGAAUUACACCUGUCUAUAAAAUUUGAUACCUUGAGAGAUACAUUUGCCGACCUCUAAUUUGUGGAUUGUUAUACAAAGUUUGUACCUCACCGUGGCAUUUUUUUUUUUUACGUGAUGAUUAUAUUCUAGGAUAAGACGAGCCUUUUGCUCCUAUCUAAUGAAAGCAGUUUUAAAAUUUUUUGGAUUGAUUUCUACGAGUUACUGUCUGUAAAAUUUAUACCUUGUGUUCCAAUAAGCUUGUGCAAUUUGUCGCAUUGCUGUUUGUCACUGCGGUUGUUUAAUACGGAAGCGAGUUUGAGAUCCGGUACGUAAAUGUCGAAGUAAACUAGGGCUUCCCAUAUGGGGGUGGUCUAGGGGCUUCAUUAGCAUAUGUAGAUUGGAGUAAACCAAAGAAGGUAAAUAUAUCGAGCAUUAUGAGUAGGCAAUUUUGCAUAUGAUUCUGAAAAGCAUAAUAGUUAAGACUUAAGACUCUUGGUGGCCUUAGCUGCUGGGGUCUGAGGAUAUUGAACUCCCGGGAAUAAAUUCUCAAAAAGCAAAAAAAAGAAGAGGAGGUGGGGGGCCGGGGUAGGGGGAGUGGGUUUUGAUUAUUCUCCCUGAAGGCAACGGAGGCACGAGGUGGAAAACGGGUGGCGCGGUUUGAUACGAAACUGAUUGAGCAGCUGGCAAACGAAAAAAUUGAGAAGCUGUCCGGGCCCCCCUUGUCCGUUCUGGAGGGCCCCUAGGCCUGAGCUAUCUGUUCCAUCGCUGAAGUCCUUCUGAGCAGGGCAGUAAACAGAAUUAGCAAUUCCGUAGCAACUUUUGCUAUGGAUUUUCUGAAAGAUGAAUAAUUUCUCUUUUGUAAACCAGGCAGUAAAACAGAGUUAAUGAUAUCAUAGCAACGUUUGCUGUGGAUUUUAGAAUGUAAAGUUGGAGCGAUUUUUUCAUCCUGUGGAUCGAAUAUGCGCCACAGGGAACGAAUUGGGCAGGUACGCGAUCACCGUACUUGAUUCAAAAGGUGGUUUGUGUGGACGGGCAAAGUUAUUUUGAGUAGUUUCACAGUGCUCAAAUUUCACUUUUAUCAGGCCACACGCAGGCCGCUAGACUAUUGUACCUGUUUAUUUCUUUUUUUUUUUUCGUUUUUUUUGGGGGGGGGGGGGGGGUGUUGGAUCCACAUUUUAACGGCAGAGCAAGGGAAUACCUAGUUAAUGACUUCUUGACAGAAAAAAAAGGGAAUACCUAGUUAAAAAUGCUAGGGUUCAAAAUUUUUUGAUUAAAUUUUUAUGUUAACUUGUAUAGUACUUAGUUUAAAAUUUUAUAUUCUUAUUGUUUAAUUAUUAAAUAGUAUGUAAUUUUGUUACAUAGAGUAUGAAUAGAAAAAAAUUGAUAAUUAGACUUAUUGAACAUUAUAAGUAAAUAUUUAAAACUAAUGAUGGGUACAAAGAAUAGUAUAAAUUGAUAAUUUAGUUUGCAAAAAUGAAUCUAAAUGAGUUUAAAAAAGUUAAAAUAAAUGGAUAAUUGCAUUAUUCAAGUCAUUUUUUGACUUACCCAUAUAAUUAAAUAGGUACAAAUGAAUUGAGUCACUCGUACCAUUACCUAUUUUACUUAACCCAAACCCGUGUAAGUCACCCAUUUUGACACCUCUAAUCUCUAGAUUUCUGCUAUGUAUUGUUUACUAUUUCGAUGGUUCCUUGCAAAUUCUGCUUUCUUACUUCUGUAGUCCAUUUUACAUCUCUAGAUUUCUGCUAUUUAUGUAUUGUUUACUAUUUCGAUGGGGUUGAGAUAGAGAGGCGGAAAUAAAAACCUGUUUGCUUCAUUCUACACAUAUAUGACCUCGACUCGUUUAUCUUAUACGGUUUGAAAUUUGAAGAAAAUUUCAAUGGAGAAAUAUUAGAAAGCUUGCAAUAAAAAUACAUGCAAGCUUCUUAAAUUAAGUGAUUUACAGAUUAACAGUCUUUUUGCAGGGGAAUGGGAUGCCGACAACUGCCAACAAAACUCGCUCUACUGCCAAAAGAAGAUAGAAAUGAUGAUCCCAUUCCCCUGGAAGAAGACUUCUUGGCUAUGACAGCCUUUGGACCAAUCUUUCGACCAACUAAACCUGCAUAGCUCUUACAUGGCUUCAUCCUCUGACCAUAAGGACUAACUUUCUUUGCAAGAUCUUCGAGGCUCUUCACAUUUGCCAAAGAUGUAAAAGACUGAGACUUUCCUUGAUAAUGUUCUGAGAGACCUCUCCUGAACGAACAAAAUUCAUACACCAUUACUUGAAUGAAGAACCUAAAGAUUAAUAUAUUGAACAGUUGCAAGUCUAACUCUUCGUUCGGUACAUCACAAAUAUAUCGAAUGCUUACUUGAUAGGCAGCUGGUUCGUAAGCUCCGACAACUCGUACAACGGCCCAUCUGAAGGUGAUGUAGAAGAUGGUGACGAUGUUGGAGAAGAUGAUGCAUCCUCUGCUAAGUCUGAUGAAGAAGAUGAUGCUGCGGAGUUAUUCCCCGAGUCUUCACCGAUGGAUUCAGAAUCACAGGAAGUGUCAUCCUCAGCCUCCGUGAUCACCCACUGAACAUGCCUUGGAUCAGGGCCGGCGAAGGUAUUCUUGAAGGUCAUUUCUUGAUAAACCUGAUUUGCUCCACCCAUUGCAGAUCACAAUCUUGGAAUGAACGGAUCAGGAGAGCAGCAGAGCAAAUGGAUGAUGAAAACUUGAUGAUGUACUAUUUUGUUUCAGGCUUCAGCAGGGGUUGAAACUCGUAUGAGCUAGGCCUCUGGGGACUUAAUUAUGUAUAUAUACGUAUAUUAAUUUACAGGGUGGGUUAGUUAGCAAGAAGUUGAUUCUAACAAAUAGGAUGUUAUUGAAGCAAUAUUAACUUUUUAAGUUUUAUGACAGGGGCGUUACAAAUUACAUGCAUGAGCUACGCGUUUUUUUGUUUUUUUUUUUGUUUAAUUGAUGAUAUGUUGCUUUAUCCUCAGGCUUGUAGUCAUCUGUCAUUGUCAAAAUUCAUAUGGUUUGAAGAAUUUCUUCCUUUUUCCCAUUCUACAAGGAAAGGGGAUAAGGUUAUGGUCCAAAACGAAGACAUCCGUAUGAUCCGAGUCACCAAUGACCAACCCAUCAUAUUAUCCUCAAAUUUCUAUACAGGGAAAAAAAUAAAAUAAUAUAUAAUCUUUGGCAUCCUCUGCACUUUUUGCCCCAUAAAGUUACGACAUAACUGUUUUAUCCGUUUCUUUUUGACAUUUUAAGGCAUUGAUCCACAGUUUAGGGAUAACGCCAAAGAGGGAUCUCUAAAUUAAAGAAGAAACCUUCUUGGCGUAAUGACGAUAUAGAACAAUAAUUAUGAUAAUAAAAGACAACAAAUGGUGGAAAGUGGAGAAAGGAUAAGCCAUGAUUUUUGAGACCUGUUCUCGGUGAGCAUUUCAUCUAGCUGAAGACCCGAUUGCCUCUUACAAUUAUUAUAUUAUAUAUAUUUUUUCCAUUCUCAAUUUUGGUAGGAUCAACUUAUCUCUACGCUAAUCAUAAAAAAAAAAAAAGCUUUAUUGAGAUAUGUAAGUAAUUUGAGCAUAUAUAGUUGCAGCCAUAGAAACAAAUGCCUAUUUGAUUGUAGGCAUAGAAACAAAAUGCCUUGAUAUGUGCUGUUAUUAUUACACUCCUAAAGUCUAUUGUCAAUGUAACUCCCUCUGCAUGUGCAUGUGCAAUGAUCCUAAGUAUUAUUUUAUAGAGUAUUAUUUAGAAUAAUAACUAUAGUAUUUUUUGUAAUGUGACGUAUAUAAAAUAUAAAAAGAUGAAUUGAAAAAUAUGUUUAUCAUGCAAACGAAAGAUUAUUUGAGACAAUUUGCUAUCCAAACAAUACCAACUAUUGUUUAGUCAGCUUGCCCAUUCGUGACCAUUAAUUCCUCAUCCACCAAGUAAAACAAAGGCCAAUGGCCACUGCCCAUUUGGUCCAUGGUCAUCACCAUUUUUGGUGAUGCUGGAGGUUACGGGUUCAACCCCUGCCUUUCACAAACUUAUCACUUUACGUGGUUGGUCUUUUGCUAUCCGCUCCUCCUCCUUAAAGUAUGGCGACCUUCUUGACUUAUCCAUGGUUCGAGUCAAUGGGGCUUCCUCUCCCCGACAGCAGGCCCUGUGUUGACAAAAAAAAAAAAAAAAAAAAAGAGUAAAACAACGGCCAAUGGGGGAGGCCAAUAGCGUAACAGUAACAAUUUAAUGGCUUCUUUAAUGGAUGUUCAAUACGCAUUUGUUAACACAUUUAAAUCUUAACGCCUACAUUAUCUUUUCUUGAUGUGAUGCAACUUUUUUAAAAUAAGAUCUAACGCACGAUGAUAUUCAUAAUUUAAUUGAAGACGUCACGAUCGAGAAACAUCAUUAUUGUCAUUAAUAGAAUAUUGUGAAGCCUAAUUACAUCAUCCGGUGAGAUCCAAUCAAUCAAUAAUAAUUAAUGCCAAGCGAGUGACUGUUAUCAAAAGGAGAGAAAGAAGUCGGCAUCGAAAUGGUAGCUUUUGGAUCGAGGCUUCCGUGGCAUCAGAGGAUUGAAUUUAAGGGGGCUUGGGAGUUAAUGAGUGGGGAGAAAGGGAACAAGAUAAGGAAGCUGACUGUAGCAUUGGUCAUGAAAUGAAAGCUUGAGCUGCGUGGGAUUGGGUGCUUCUCUCUGGCACCACACAAGUCGCUGUUGUAUGGUUUCUGCCUCUUACCCAUGAUUAAAUUCCCUGUUCCACGGUCCGUAGCCCACAGCUUCAGCCUUUGCCAGCUCCCCCCCCCUCUUAAUGAUAUGAUCGUUUUGCAUUUCAAAAUAGGAAAAUCACUUAGAACAGAAAUAAAUUGAAAGAUGACGCAUUUUUUAAAAUUUAGGAAUUUUCGAAAUUUUUAAUUGCUUUUUAUAAAUGAACUCUUCAAUGAAGGAAAAUAUAUAGACCCUAAAAAGAGAAAAUGGUGGAUCAAGUUGAAGUUUUCAAGUGCUUCUCUAGUCUAAAUCACAUAAAUAAAUAAAGUUGAACAGAAAAUUGCGAAUUUGUUUAAGUCGUCUUUCUAACGCAUCAUUUUUAUUUGUAGCACCUUCUUCCCCACAAUUCCAACUAAACUCCUUAGCCAACUUGGAGCUACUGAAGCUGACUAAAUCCACCAGCAAAGUCCAAAAUUUCUAGCAGGGCCUCGAUCAUCCAAGAAGACAUCCCCGCUUCCACAUAUACGAGUAGCAAGGUCGCUCAGAAGACCUUCACCCCUCAAGAAGUUUCUUAUGUCAUAACAAAAUUUGUUAUUUAUUUCUGCCCAUUUCUUCCAGUGAGGGAUGAGGACUUCCUUUGCCUUAAUUUCACGAGGAUCCCAAGAAUCUGCAAUUAUCUUCACCUUUGAAAGUAAGAGAUCAAAAGCUAUUGCUUCAACCAAAGGUGGGCGUGACAAGUACUCCCCAUGAAGCUGAGCCACUUCCUCUAUUUUUCUCGCUACUCAAAGAUUUCCCUCAAUUUGGAUGCAAAAUGGUUACCGUCUUACUUUCCGUAGAAAUCUUAUUGUGUACUUUUAAAAAAGCCCCUGCCUCGCCAUUGGUUUCUGUACAGAAAUAUGUGUUUUAGGUGACAACACCUAGGUCCUAAAUUGGCACGAGAAUUUUAGUUAAGGGACUUAAUUCAUGCGAUAAAAUAUCGAGGGACCAAAUCGAUUUUAGUGAAAUAAUUUGAGGACUAAAUUGACAAUUUUCCCAAUAAAUAAAGUUGAAGUUUCAAAUGGUUUGACUGACACCGAAUGGUGGCUCUAUAACUGACUCAACUACAAGUCUGAUCCAACACAUCAAGUUGUGAGCAUAUGCUUCUUCUUCAUGUUUUAAUAUAAGCUAUAAUGCAUUUUCUUUUUUUUUUUUUUCUUUAUUUCACGUGUACUCUUAUGUAAGCACAAGCAGAACCAGAAUUUGAGAUUUUAAGAAAGCAAAAUUAGUAAGGAUGUAGACUCGGGAGGGCACAUGUACAAUUGUGUAAAAAAAAAAGAAAAAAUUGGAGGACAAAGUCCAAUAUUUACAAUCAAAUUGUUUGGUUUGCACCUUCUUUACAAUCAAAUGAUAUGAGUGAGACUUUUAAAUACUUUAUGGGGGGUCAAAAUAAUUUGUAAACUUUUGGAAGGGCAGAGUCUAAUUUUUAUGAAGGUAUAUUAGGACAAAAAAAUAAAAUAAAGAGAGAGAGAGAGAGAGAAAAAAUUCAACUAUUACGGGAACAUAGACCAAUUUCUAAAAUCCUGGGGGACAGCUGCUCCACUUACGUCCGCUGAUGUAAACAUCUGUCGUAAAUGCUCAUCCUUUAUUUGUGUCAUAGUACCGGAAGCAUUAGAAAAAGACAACAACGAUUUAACUCCACACGCUAUAAUGAAAGCCUCCAAGCUUCUUGACUUAGCAGAAGCAAAGAUGGUCUUACUUGACAGGAAUAUUCGGUCCACUUAUCCAAGAAAUCAAGCCGAGUUGUAACGUGCAAAACAAGUAUAUCCUGGAUCAAAUGGCUCCAUCACUUGAAACAAAUAGACAGAACGGGGGAAGGGAAAAAAAAAAUCAAGUUCUACGAUCUGAUGUUAAUUUAAUUUUACUGACGCAGUAAUUUAUUUCUCCCCAACUCCUUGAGAAAGAAUAGACAUACGGAUGGAGGAUUUAGGGCCAUAACGGUACAAGUGAAUGUGACUUAAAAACUUGUACAGCCUAGAUCAUGCAAUUUUUGAUGUAUGCUUUAUGCCCUCACUCCAAGGCCCAAACUAAAUCGCCCAUGGUGCAGUCUGUAUAUGAAAAACUUAAAAACCGGAUACACCUGUUUUUGCCUUCGACAGAACGCUGAAAGCUCCAAGCCAAGGCUAAGGGAUAUCGUGCAAACCACAAACCAAUAAGCAUUAAUGUCCUGCUGCUGUAAACCUACUGUGACAAGGCUAGUAUUAGCUACCCCAGAAGAGCAGCCUAAAAUUAAAUUUAUAAACUCGCACAAGUCCGCUGGCUGCUUAAAAGAAUUUUGGCUGCGGCUGCUAAACUAUGAAGUUUUAACCUGCACAGACUAAGUAGUGCUAAAGUUAUAGAAGCAACAUCAUCUGCUCUCAUUCCACUACAAGCUAAACGCCUUCAAAUGGUCUAUGAUCACCUAUAAAUGCCAUUCUGUCCGCGCUUGAGAAAACGUGUAGAGGUGUAUGACAAUAUCAGGCUUUUACAUAUCAUGUUUUAUCAGACUUUUACAAUAUCAGACUUCUACGUAUCAUGUCUGAUAAGUUUGCAACCAAUAAAAUUUUGGGAAAAUUUAGAAGAAUUAAACAAUGUGUAGUUGUAAUCUUCGAGCAUGACUUGCGGCUAAAGCAUAUGGGGAAAAAUAUUGUACUCUGAAGUCAUUACAAGCAAAUGAUCAUCUAGGAAAACUUAUGGGAGGUUCCAAGCUAGCUACCAGAAUGCCAAGAUCAAUGUCCUUGUCUUCAAACUUCUUAAGAAAAGGAUGGUUCUGGAAGCAAUGGAGCAAAUCAAGCAGUCAGCAUUUGCAUAUUGGAGCACGGUGACCAAAAGAAAGACUAAAAGAAGUGGGUAGUUAACUAACCAAAAGGUCCAGAGAUGAGGAUCUGUCCCUCGGAUCCUUCUGUAUGCUGAAAAAGCAAGCCACGAUAACAAAGCAGAGCAUCAUUAGGAGAGAAGGUAUGGGCAACAACAUGGAUACAUUGAGAAACCCACUGCUACGUCACUGAUCCAACAUAGAACUAUAAGAAAGUAUCCUCUAAUGCUAAAAACUCGCACUUUUUUUUAGAAUAAUUGCAGCAGGUUUCAACCAAAAGUCUUAAGAAUUUAAGGUCAACUUAAAGACAGAGUAAUGGAAUAGUCAAACGCAUUCAGUCGAAGGACCAUAAAGAAGUAGAUAAGAGUGUUUACUGCAUAUGUGCAACAACAUAAACGAAUCUUCUUAGACCUUACCAGGCAGAGAUAAAUGAACAAAACUCUGGGGAGAAUUGAUCUGGUGGAGCAGAAGGUGGAGAGCCUCCCACAAUUGCUUCUAAAAGCUCAUAAAAGCUUGGCCAACCCUGCUGGUCUUCAGAUUGUAUGUAAGGGAAACGUCCAAUAGCACACUCAAGGGUAACCAUGCCCAGACUCCAGAUAUCACUCUUGUAGUCAUAGGUGCUCCCACUAAUUCUUUCAGGCUAAAUAUGAGAUGAGAAAGGAGAAACAAGUCACCAAACCAGAAUUAGGCCUCUAGAUUUUCCACUCAAAACAUUUUGCUGUUGCACAUCAGAUGUUUAGUAUGUUCUACACAAUGUGUACCAAUAGCCACUGUAAAAAUUAAUGGAUCAAUUUUUCAUGAUCAUAUCUCCACUCACCGCCAUGUAAUUAUAGGUACCAACAAAUGUGUCUCUUUGACCCAUAGAGCUGGCCAGCAUUGCGCUCACACCAAAAUCUGUAAUUUUGACCUCCCCUUUGUGGUUCACUAGCAGAUUGGAUGGCUUUAUAUCUCUAUGGAUUACAUGUCUCUCAUGGUGCAAGUACACGAGACCUUGCAAAACCUGAACAUAUUAAAAUUUCACAUAUCCAUGGUGAGCAGAAGUUAAGCUUAUAUACUUUCGGAAGAAUCUCAUGUUUCAGUUUUUCCUACCUGCUUACACAGGACUGCAAGAUACGGUUCAAGAACUGUCUUCACUUGUCUGAGUACAUCAGCUAAAGAGCCACGGUCCAUAUACUCCAGUACAAGCGAGAUAGCCCCAUUGUGGUAGAAAGAAUGGUAGCAAACCACAACAUGGGGACACUGUGAGCCUUGAUUAAUUUUAAGCUCCUGCACAAUUUGUUUCCGAAUAUCUUCUUGUAUAUUCAUCUGGAUGACCUGUGCUUAGACAUGCACUCUGGAGUUAGAAUAUCUAAAGCAUCAUCAGUACAGAGCUAAUGUGUCAAGAGACGUGACAACAAAAAGCCAGUAGCUAAUGCCAGUCAUUUUAGGAAGAGCUCAAAGCUUCCAUGUUCAGUAUCAGGGUCCUUCAAAACUAUUCAAAUGUUAGAUAUCUUAAGUAUGAUUGACCAAAAUCACCUUUACACCUCCCUAAUAAAGCAACUCUAGUAAAAGUUUCUAAUCAUUGGUUUAUUCAAUUAGCAAAUAAUCCACUAAUUUCAUAAGAUCAGUAUCAAACACUGUGCUGUAACAUUCGAUAUGCAUAACAUGCAAGAAUAAUUAUUCAUUAAUUGCACAAGUGCGUAAAAACAUGACUAAAGUUGUGCACUUAGAGAAGUGAUCUACUGAAACAAUCAACGUGCUCAAGGAUAACAAAGUAGCAGGAAACUGAAGUUGUAUGCUGACCUUCAAGGCAAAUAACGUUCCAACCCAUUUAUGACGAACAAGUUGAACCACGCCACCACUUCCCUUUCCAAUCACUUUGAUGGUCUCAAGAUCUUCCAGUGAAAAUUGAAGAUCAAAUUCCUUACUUUCUGCAGGCUGCCCACACAAAUAUUCAAUUUGUCACAUCUUCGGCUUCCUUUUCCUUGUUCUUUUUCAUUCAAAAGAGAAGCAUACUAUCACGUGCAAACAAUAGGUUCCCUAUACAACCUAAAAUGUUUCAUGAGUUUUAAGUGAUGCAAAGUCAAGGAGAUGCUUGAGAGAAUGAUACAUCCUCCAUUAGUCAAGUUGCAAACCUUUUUGCUGUUCUAGUCUUCUUUUUUUCUCCGUUCUCUUUCUUGGAAGUUGUGUAGCAAAUAAUGGAAAUGGCACAAACUACUGAACUUUCAAAUGAAAGCAAAACAGAAGUCCUAAAACAGUUCGUAUCAUAUUCUGAGGGCAAUAGUCAUCUGAAAUCCACCAAAACAAGCUAUUUGAGAUGGAUUUGGGACAUGAAAACACGAAAAAACAAAAAUUAAUAUAAAAUAUAAAGCAAUGUAUGUGCUGCACCUAUAACUGAAAUAUUUGUGGAACGUGUUUGACUUGCCAAUGUAGUAUUAAUGAGUGUCAUAUUUGAUGUGAUUGUCCUAUUUCAUUUAUUUUUCGGUAGCUAUGGCCAAGCCUUUAUGUAAAAAGGCAAAAAUAGGUUCAAAUUUAAGAAUUCUACGUAUACAAACUUUUAAGUCUGUUUUGAGAUGUAAUCCACAUAUUCAAAAUUAUAAGAACUGAAGUGAAAUCAGAUACAUUAUACGAAAUCUAUAAUGCAUUGUUCUCUUUUAUAUCUUGUUUUCCAAUUCCGUUCCAUCUACCAACCGGACUGGAAACAGCGUCAUAAUGGAAUUCACAUCAAUUAAGCAUUUCUUCAGAUCUUCAAUUUUGGACUCAAUUGAAGCUUCUUCCCUCGCAAAAUAAAUGAGAGUGUUCAAUCCACGGAUAAAACAACCACGUGUGUAUCAGCCACGUCUUAAUUAGUACGCUUCUAAUUACGUCCAAUUUCAAUCUUCCAUUAAGUCCUCAAAACUAGAGCAUUUUAUCUAAAGCUCUAUGAUAUCCGAUCACACCAAAUCGAAAUCGAAAUGCCGAAAAAUUAUUACCUGAGGAGGAGAAUCAUUGUCAUCGGAGAUAAGGCGCAAACCUUUCUGGUUUAACAGUAAAUCGCCGUCGUGAAAGGUUCCGCUCGCGGUCCUACCAUGUUUAACAACACAUCAUUUGACAAAUUCCAUCACUUUCAUGAAUUUCCCCCCAAAAAAACUAGCGUAAUAAACGAGAAAAAUUUUAAUUAAUUUAGAUUUGUCAGCGUACAAAUAUUAAAGGGAGAGAUUAUGGAGCGUACAAGAAGCUGGAGACGGAUGUAUCUUGAACCGGAACAGAGAGCUUGAGUUCCUUCACUGGCUUCUUAAGCUUCAUGAUUCUUGCUUCUAUAAUUAAAGAUAGGGUUUGGACUGAAAAGUUUUUGGAGAGAAAGGAAAGUAGGGAAUGAAUGGGGGAGGAAUUGGGUGUGGAGCAGAGGGAAGGGGUGACAAAAUCCACCGACCGAAUUUGGGGAAGAGAGGAUUCAAACUGGGAAGAGCGCCAAAAGCCGUGUUGCUGUUACCAAUUUAUUGUGACGUACGAUAUAUUCUUGGGUUAAUUACAUUUACCUCCCUUGAGGUUUGACCAAAUAACGAAUCGAUCCCUGAGAUUUGGCCAAAUAACAGUCCACCACUUUGAAUAACCAGACAUUUAACAAUUACCCACCUACUGUUGAGAGACGUUAGAGAUUCUACUUGACAUCAGGAAAAAGAAAACUUGGGAUGACGAAAUUGCCUUUAUUGUGUCCAACUGUCAUUAAGAUUUGUUCAAGUUUUGAAAAUAUCCUUUUCAUUAAAAAAUAUAUAUAUAUAUAUGUAUAAUAUUAAGAUUAUAAUUCUUUAUCAUUCACAUCCGCGCACUUGCCUACCUUUAUAUGUACAAAAAGAAAGAACAAAAAGACUUCCUCAUUGCCUACCUUUAUCUGUACAAAAUGAGAGAAGAAAAAGACUUCCCUGUUUUUUCCCAAGUUUGCUGAAAAUUGCACUUCCUUCUGUGUUCCAAUCUUCUCAAGAUUCUCAGAAAUAGUCUUCAUACUUGGUUGAACUUCAGGUCUGCCUCCGUGCAUGCAAGCGCUAAAUGAAACACUGCAAGUACUUCUUUCUUCGCAUGUACUUAUUUAAGCAACAUUGGGUCUACCAUGUCUGAUAGAGGGUUCUCCUCUUCAAAUCCCUUCCUCACUCCACCUUACUAGGUCUGGGAUCUCCGUGGAAGUGGAUGUCGUAGGAGAUGAGAGCUCUGGAGACUUCCCUGUCAGCAACUCAAGCAAGACAACUCCAAAUGAGUAGACAUCCUACUUUUGUAGGGGUAUGCAUCGAAUUCGAAAUCGGUAAUUCGGAAGUUUGAAUUCGAAAUUUUUUGAAAUUUUGGUAUCUGACUCGAUUUCGAAUUCACAAAUUCCGAAUUCGAAUUCGAUUCGAAAUUUGGUAAAUUCCGAUUUCACCGAAUUCGAAAAAAUUUAUAUAUUAUUAUAUAAUAUAAAAUUUAUUAUAUUUAUGAUAUAAUAUAAAAUUUAUAAUAUUAUAUUAUAUUAUAUUAUAUUAUAUAAAUUUUAUAUAAUAUUAUAUAGUAUAAAUUUUAUAUUACAUGUAUAAAAAAUAUAUUUAUAUAUUAAAAACGAAUUUGAAUUCGAAAUCAGAAAUUCCGAUUUGUAAAACUCCAUUACCGAAUUCGAACCAAAUUCGAAAUAUAUGAAUUCGGAAAACCCAAAUUCGAUUCCGAUUUCCGAUUUACCAAUUUCGAAAAUUCCGAAUUCAAUUCGAAUUCGGUCGGUAAAUCGAAAUUUUUCGAUUUUGCACACCCCUACACUUUUGGGUAGGUCGGUUGCCAGGGAUCUGAGCUUUCGGUGAUUGAUAAUUGUUGGGUCGCUCGGGUUGAGCUGAUUUUAAAGAUGGAAGACCCCACCUAUGAAUACACCAGACGAUGAAGGAUUGUUGCUUGUGAUAUUGAUCAGGCGGUUCAGGCCGAAAUCAGAAAUGCAAGCUUGAAAAUCAUUGUCAAGGAGAAUAUUAAAGGGUUUUAUGUCUCCAUGGACAAAUUUUCUGGGGCUACAUUCAUGAAGAUAUGCUAAGCCCCUCGCUGUUCCUUUAGCAAUUUUCAGCCUGCUUCCCCAUGAUAAGCUAGAUGAUGCCUGACCUGUUCUCCCUGCAUCGAUGUUACACAUCUUCAAUCAAAUAAUCAACCAACUUAACUCAUAUGAUACGACAUGCUGAUGUUAAUACUAGAUCUUGACCCAAAUUAUUUUAUCAGAUUCAUCUCCUACCUUACAAUAGGCCAAUAGAAAUGGCUAUCUGUAUUGUUUCUCGCUUAAAGGCUAAAAUGGUAAGUACAUAUUUCUAUUUUUAUAUCUUUAAAAUUUGAUGGAAAUUAAUAAGGGUUGUUCAAACUUUUGGCUAAUUCCGGGCUUGUUUGGAAGUCCAAGUUUUUACCAAGUUUUUAUUAUACUAGUUUUUUAACAACUUGUGCUACAGGAACCCAAAAAACUUAUCAAAGUUUUUUAACCUACACACUUAAAAUAUCCGAAACAAAAAAAAAAAAAAACUCCCUUCCCUUUUUCUUCUUCCUCCUUCCCCACCACUACCUCUGUCAACUGCUUCGUCACCGGCCACCACUUCCGCCGCCGGUUCCGGCGCCGAUCACCUUUUCCAGUGCCGAUUUUUUUUUCCUUUUUCUCUCUCCCUUUUUUUUUUCCUUUUUUCCUCUUCCCCCGCAAGUUUUUUUUUUCUCUCUGCGUCUCCCCCCCUCCUCCCCCACCACCCUCAGAUCACAUCGAGUGAGGGUGAGGGUGGCGGGGAAAGGGGGGAUUUGCCAAAAAAAAAAAUUUGACGGGUGGCGGGAUUCAGGGUGGUAAACAAGAAGGGGAAUAGGGGAGGGGGAAGGGGCCAAGGGGUGACGGGGGGAGGGGGAAGGUGGCGAGGGGGUGGCGGGGCAGUGAGGAUGGUGGGGAUAGAGGGGGAAAGUGGGCUGCUUGGAAGUCGCGGGGGGGGGUGGCAGAGGAAGGGCAAAGGGAGGGCAGAGGAAAUGGGGUGAGGGGGUGGCGGGGCGGGCGGAGGGGGAGAAGCAAAGCAGGGGGAAGACCGGGGGAGGGGGUGGCGGGGGAAGAGGGGAUGGCGGAAAGCAGGGGGAAGCGGGGUGAGGGGAUGGCAGGGGAAGGGGGAAAGCGGGCAGCGUGGGUGGCGGAGGAAGGGGGUGGCGGGGCAGAGGGGGAGAAACAAAGCAGGGGUUGGGGGGAGGUGGCACUGCUGGAGGCAGAGGUAACGGGUAAGGGAGAAGAAGAAGAAGAAGAAGAAGAAGAAAGAAAGAAAAGAGAAAGGAAAGAAAAAAAAAAGAAAGAGAAAAAGAAAGAAAAAAAAAAGAAAAGAAAAAAAGUUUUUAACCCUACAAAAACUUCUACAAAAUUUUUCUUCUUACAAAAAACUCCUACAAAAUUUUUUCAACAACUUCUACAGUGCACUACAAUAAAGUUUUAGACAAACUCCAAAAAAACUAGGUUCCAAACAGGCCCUCAAUUCCAUAUAAUUGACAAACUUAGCGUGGGAGAGUAAUUUGUUAUUUGGCCAAAUCUCAGGGAUCAAUUCGUUAUUUGGUCAAAGCUCAAGAGAGGUAAAUGCAAUUAACCCUAUAUUCUAUUCGAGGUAGAAACUAAAAUAGACGGAAAUUAUACUAAAAUUAUUAAAUAUGUACUUAUUUUAAAAUUUUAAAAUAUAUAUUUAAAUUUGUUUUAACGAAGACAAAUAGAUAUAUAUAUAUAUAUUUUUUUUUUUUUUGCAAAAAGUGAGAUGCUUAAAAAUUAGUCAUCCUUCCAAUAGAUAGUCCAAAUCAAAUAAUAAAAGAUUAAUUGAAUUGGGCAAUGAAAUACUAACGCUUGGUUGUGGCCUUGUUUGGCAAGCAAAUUUUUGCCAAGUUUAUCUGUUACAAAUUUUUUUAACAACUUAAUUACAGUAAUUUUAAAAAAUUUCUCAAAAUUUUUAAACUAUACACUUCAAAAUAUUUAAAAAUUUACACACUUUAAAUAUUUUUCUAAAACUUCUACAAUAAACUAUAGUAAAGUUUUAAAUAAAUAUAAAAAAAACUCACUUGUCAAACGGACCACAAUUUGAAAGUUCUAAUGUCCAAGCAUUACAAGUUGUGUUUGGAACCAUGAAGUACCAUAAACUUCUUUGUUCUACAAUGCACAAUUUUCGUUAUGAGUUUUGACCAACUAGUACUUCAAUACUUUUUUUCCUUUUUUUAAGUAGUUUGAAUAUUUGGGUGCAAAGCAUACACAUGUUUCUUUAUCCUAUUUCCUUUUAUAGCAAAUUGCCUUGCAAUCCACCAAAUUUUUUGAAUAAUAGAGCCUUGGUCACUCAAAUUUUAAGAGUAUAUAUUUACCCACUAAACUAUCAAAUGUAUAAAUUUGAACUAUUUUAUUUAUUUCCAUCAUUAAGUUUGCCAGAACUAAAGACUUGCACAAUAGUUUAGUGGUUAAAUAUAUACUCACACUAUAGUUUACUCGGUUAAUACAUGCUCGCACUAUUUUUUGAUGGAUAAAUAUAUUAUGAGCUUUCUAAAUUGCUCCUUGAUUAUGUCUCGUAACUCGUGCGAUACUUUAUAUAUGGUAGAUUCGAUAGUGGAAAUAGACAAAAUGGCUCGAAAUUUAUAUUUUUAAUAGCUUAGUAGAUAACUAUAUACUUUUAAAAGUUGAAUGACCAAAACUCUGUCUUUUUUUUUUCAAAAAUAUAGUGGGUAGCCAGAUAAUUUGUACUCUUUCAAAAAUAUAGUCGGCUUCAUAACUCAUCAAUCUCAUCGUUGCUGAGGUAUGACACAUCUCAAAUAAAACUAUUCACCCUAAUACUUAAUAAACAUACAAAUCAAAACAAUUGAUCAUCGUUGUCGCAAACCCCAUUUCCAACCACCACAAAUCCAAACGCUGGCGACCUUCCCCUAUUUUUCAUCUUUUGCUAUCUUAUUCCUUUUAUCUACACUUUCACACAAAAACACCUAUGAAGAUACAGAAAAAUCUAGAUAUACAGUGAAUCUUGCCUUUUAGAAGUUUUUUUGAAGAAGAGGAACCUAGAACAUGUGAAUGAGAGGUUAAAGAAGAUUUUUUAGCAGAAGACUUUAUAAGCAUCAAUACUGAAGCACUAAUUUUCCAUACGACGGUCUAAUUAAUGACUGAAAUCACUGCCAAAACAAGUUUUAUGAGAUUUCAUCUUCUUGCCAAUAUUCAAUUGUAUGAUAUGCGAUUGGUUCAAGAGAUAUGAUGAGUUCUUGGUACUCUCUAAUUCAAUUUGAAUUAUAGGAAUCGAAAGAAUUUGGCUUGCAGAUUGAUUAUGAUAAAUGUGAUACCCCAAAUUUUAGGAUACUAUUUUUGUUUAAUCUCAAAGAAAGGAUUACGGUUUCUUUAUUUUAUUUUGUCUUAAAACAUUAUUUUAUUUUAAAAAAAGAUUAGAAACCUUACUUGUACUUUAAAAUCCUAGUUUACUUGUGACUAGCAGGUUAUGUUUAAAUCCCUCAUAUUUGACUCAAAACCCUAAUUUUAUUCUAUGAAAUUGUAAAAUUCAUCACACUUUUCUUAAAAUUCUUUUUAUUUGGAAAUUAUUCAUUUAAUAUAAUCCUACUACUCAAUCAUUCCUCAAUAAGUGCAAAUGAACCUAGAAAGUAGGGUUUCACUCUUCGUUUUCAAGAUUGGAGCAAAUUAGAGUUUUCGCGAUUUUUCGCCGGAUGAUUUUUCGGUACGGAGCAAGGAUCAAAUUUGGUGAUUAAAAGUGACUUUUGGGUGAAAAAUAAUAUGUGAUUAGAUACAAUAAUAAAAAGUUAGUGAAUAGGAAGAAAAAAACCCUAGUACGGGUGAUUUAAGGAAAAUCGGCUCGAACUGACAGGUAUCGUUUGUUACCGGGUAGACACACCAUUUGACCCAUACUUUAUUACCUUAAUUUUGUCAUUUUAUUUUAGAUAAUUGACCCUCAAAAUAUCUCAUACAUCAGCCACAAUAUUUGACCAAGAGAAAUGAGAGAAAAUGCUAAAAAGAAACAAGUGUCAAGGCAUCUAUGGAAGUUGGACUUUGACCAACUUGUCUUAACCUUCAUAAAACAGAAAUUUGACCAAAAUUUCCUCAUUUCUUCCCAUUUUCUUAGUCUUGGUCGAAAUUCUUGAGAGGAAAAACAAGAGAGGAAAAAACUUCACCUUGCACCUCAAUUUCAAGCCUCAAUCUUGAGUUUCAACCGAUAAUCUUGCAAAUUCCUCCACAAAAGUUAAUCUCCAAGGAAGUUUAAGGGUUUUGGUGGAGUGAUUUGGGAAGAGGAAGGUCUUGGCAGCUUCUUGAUAUAGGGAUUAAGGUGAAUUUGGUAAGAAACUUCCCUCUACUUCUUAUAUGUGUGAACUAAAAGCUUAAAGUUAUAGUUUUGAUGGAUUUAUAGGAAAAAUUUCAUGGGUUCAAUGGUAUGUUGGGAUGUUUAACUAGGGUUUAUAUUUUCAGCAUUGAUUAUGGUUAUCUACAUCUUAAUUGAUGUUAUUGAGAUAGUAAUUGGUGGGUUUGAUGAUAGAGCACUUGUUAGAUAUGAAUUUAUAGAGUAAAGGUGCAAAUUUCAGAAUUUGGAAACCAAGCUACCCUGUUCUGUCUGAUUUUAUUGCAUCAUGUUAGAGGCCGAAUUAGGUUUAGCAUAAAACAUGAAAGUUGUAGAGAAUGAUGUUUUAUAGUUGUUUACAAAAUUUCAGCUCAUUCGAAGCAACAUAGCCGGUGAAAAGACCAAAAUACCCUCACUGCCCUAGGAUAUUUUCAGUGAUCCGUUUUGGACAGUUCAUCAAAUUGAUUGUGUUUAUUCACUAUGAUCCGUGCUGAUUUAGUCAUUUGCCAAAAAUUAAAAGUUUUAGUACUCUGUCUUAGCUUUUUAACGCCACCAAGAACACCUUAAACGGAUCAGUGUAACCCAAGUUAUAGACAAAACACUCAUGCCUGUUUUGAACAUUGGUUUGUGCUGCGUUUUGAAGUCAGCCUCUGACCGUGCAUUUUUCUGUUUUGAUCCCGUAUGAUCUGGGUGUCAACUCCUUCAUAAGAAAUGUAGAUCUUGGUUUUGGUUUCGAAACGGUAUAAAGUGCGUCGAAAUCCGAGUUCCGUAGCUCCUGUUAUGACCAAAACAAGAUCAAUCGUCAGAACUGCCUUGAAUCUGGACAGUUCUAACGGGUGCUUUGACACUCAACUUUCGUUCUGUUCUGAAUGGAUUCAGGUCUUGGCCAAAACAUCAAAGUUUUAGCCUUAUAUCUCAGCUUUCUAAUGCCUCUGGAAUUUCUUGAUUUCUAUUUGUGAGUUGGGAGUUACAAUCCAGCAAACUUACCCUGUCCGUUACCUUAAAGUGCACAUUUCUGGCACUAUUUUCCAUACUUUCGACCCAUCUCUAUUCCGAUCCGGAUUUAUGUGUCUUCAUGAAAGUUAUAGGCUUUUCUCUUAGCUUCGUAACGGUAUCUCAUGUACCUUGAUCCGACACGCGUAGCCUCGAUUGUGCUCAAAACAGUUUUGACGGCAAAACGGCUAGGUCGCCUCCCAUUUCCGUAUGCCGUUUCCGCACUUGCAUGUGCCCAUUUUGUCGUUUUGCGUGUUUUAGGCAUAAUAGUAGCCGUUUGUGAUAUUAUGUGACGUAAUCUUCUAUUUCAGACGGUGGUGAGUUAGGUGGAGCCGGUGGGGCCUACUAGCUACUCUUCGCGACGCGAAUUUCGUCCUUUUGUUAUCCUUGUUCGUUGAGUAAGUAUUCACACCGCUCUUAUGUGUUAGUUGCUUAUGUGUUUCGAUAUGUAUGAAGAGAGUAUCUAGGCGAGGGUGUACUUUAUCGCACUCGACCUAAACCCUAAUUUACGCACAUAUUUGUACAUGGCAUAUGUAUAUGAAUCAUUUUGGAACUAAACCCCUUGAACUUGUGGCUCGGGGUGAUUUUUGAGUAAAUUUUGUGAAAUUUGUGAGUUUGGGGCCCGAUCUCAUGACCUAGAUGGACUAUUCAAGCCGGUUAGGGUUUGGUCGAAGUCAGUCCAAUCUGGUUUGAGGUCACCAAGUUUGUGAAUCCGGUUCACCGAUUAUGUGGACCAAGUUUGUGACCCGAGCUUGUGAACCAAGCUCAAUUUCGUUCGCUCGAGCAAGUUUAUGAGGUGUCUGGCCAGAGAGGGUGAUAAGGUGUAUGGUGGGAGUACAAGUGAAGUUCUACGAACCAUUAUUUGUGGUCGACGGAGUGUCGGCAGGAGAUCACGCAUGGCAAACGAUCUGGUUUUGGAGCCACCUGUAUCCUUAUCAUGUGAUGUUACUUUUCUGCUUUUGCUUUACUCUUACUGUGUAACUGUUGUUACGUGAAAUUUACGCUUUUGCCCCUGUUUACUUACUAAGCAUAUAGCUUACCCCUUUUCUUUUGUUUUCCUUAGCAGGGGCCGACGCGGGGACUUUUGGCACAUACACUGGGUAUAGUUAGGUGUGCUUGUUUAGCUAGACGUUUAAGUCGUUUCUUUUAUUUUGAUGGCCUGUAUAAGAACCUCUUUUUGGGUCUACUUUAUAUAUUGGGUGACUAACUUAUGGUGAUGUAGUAAACAGAAUACAUAUUUUGGAGAAUGUAAUUAUAACUCUUUUGGGAUUGUAUAUAGUAUGUAUAGUACUCUUUUGGAUUUUCUAGCUUUUAUUGUUUUAAAUUUUGAGUCCUGGCGCGAGCUAGACAGGGACCCGCCGAUAGCUUUGGAUUCGCCCUUGGGAGAAGUGGGAUCGUCACAAUAAAUCAGAUGUGAUAAAGAUGGAUUGAGUAUAGAUGCAGGUGGAUAGUGGAGUGGCUGCAGAGCGAAAUGAAAUACUAGUGGUAAUAUUCUUGGGAAAAAUUUUUAGUUUUGUAAAAUAUUUUCAGGAAAGCGUAUCAAACACCAAAAAAAAAAAAAGGUAAACUAAUUAUUUUCCAAAAAAAAAUUUUCAUUGGAACAACAUAAUGACACGAUAUAGGAUUCUCAUAUAGGAUUCUCCGCAUUUAGAUUCUUCUACCUUUUUCAAAAGAACAACAUAAUGACAUGAUACCAUACCAAUAAAGAAUAGUGUUCAGUUAGGUUUUCAUUUGAUUUUUAACUCAUAUUUCCUAGCCAUUUCAUUAGUAUCAUUAAUAAUUCUGUUUAAGAAUUCAUGGUGUAAUAUGAAUAAAUAUUUUAUAGAAAUGAUAAUAUGAUAUAAUGGAUAUAAAUUAAAAUUAACUUGUAAUGAAAUGAAUAUUUUGAGAGUAGAAAAAUAUUUGCAACAUAUCAACAAACAUAUCAGAAAAUAUUUUCAUUGACAAACCAAAUACCGAAAAAUUAUGAAAAAAGGAAUUUAGAAAAUAUUUUCACUUAAGAACCAAACAUCGAAAAAUUAUGGAGAAGGAAGUGAUUUUUCAGGAAAAUGACUUCGAUGGAAGGAAAAUAUUUUUGGUCUAACCAAAUGGACCCUAAGAGUAACUUAUAAUCAAUGCGACCCAUACGUGGGUCCUGUUUUCAAAUGAUUUUGAUUGUGUAAAAAUUGAUUAUAAAAAAAUCAGAAUAAAAAAUAAAAUAUAUAUAUUUAAUUUUCUUUAAGGUAAAAAACUAAAUUUUUUGAUAUAAAAAUAUAGUUGAGAUUUGAGAACAGCUGAAUUUUUUUUUUUUCAAAAUCAGGAUUUAGAGUCAAGUAUUGAGCCUGAGUUAAGAACUAGGUGGUAACAUAGAAAAGAUAAAGAGAACUAAAUUUGAGUUUUGGACAAUUUCAUUGGCGUUUGAAAUUAUUCAUUUGGAUAUAUCUAAGUUGUUAAAUAUUUGACGGGCAUUGCUGAUUUACAAAGAGUUUACAAAUGUGUUUAGAUAGGAGAUUUUUUGAAAUAUUAUCUGCAAUAAUUACUAUAAUAUCUUUUUAAGAUGUGAUGUAUGUGAGAUAGAAAUAUAAUUAAAAAUAUACAAAGUUGAUUGACAAUAUUGUAUUUAUGAUAUAAACAAAGUAUUAUUUGAAAUAAUUUUACUAUCCAAACACAUUUUUUGCUUGUUACAGGAAUUAAACUUGUGAUUUGAGCAGUCGGGCUCGCCGAGAAAAAGACAAAACUUCAGUGGGAGAUAAAUCAAUGAACGUUUGGCACAGCCUACUGGUUUCGAUAGCCCUUGUGAAAAUUUCAAAAAGGGAACGAGUUACAACCAAGCCCAUACGAUCCAACUCCGUCUGUUGUCCUUGGGCCCACUGUUGGAGUUAAGCCACUGUUGGAGUAAAUUCCUGCUCUGGCCUAAAUACUAAAAUCAUGGAUUUGUUAAACCUUCAGGAAGCGCUACUACAUGUCACAUAUGCAUGAAAUGACUCUGAUUGAGAUGUGGAAGCUUAAGGCGGCCUUGUUUCGAUUGAAGUUUUCGAAAGAAAAUAUUUUAUGUUUUUUGGGGAUAUUUCAUAAUUAUUUUUUAACCUCACAUACAUAAAAUUGAUAUAAUAUAUUAUAUUAUUCCAUAUAAACUCCAAAAAAUAACAAUUCAAAUGCAUAGAAACAUGUUUUCAAUUUUCAGAAAACAGGAUAAAAUGCAUCUUCUAAUUUUUUUUUAAUAUCACAUACAAGAUACACUCGUAUAUGUUUAUAGUAUAAUUUUGCUUAAAAACAUGUGAUGAUUUUAGAAAACCUCCUCUAAGAUCUUUAACAAUUACAUCUACCUUUUUCUAAAAAUUGAUAAAUUAUUUUUACUUCCCUUGAUGCUAUGAAAAAACUAGGAAAGCCUUCAAAAUAUGGCUUAACUUUUCCUGCAAAAAAAUGGACUUAAAAUGUUCACAUAAUAGAUAAUGGUGAUAGUUACCUUUUCAACAUUUAAUUUGUUUUACAUAUUAGAGAGGGUUAAUAUUGAAUAUUCAGUGAUUUUUUUCUUUUUUUUGCACUUACAUCAUUAAUGUUUUAUCAAGACAUACUUUUAGGGAAUGUUAUAUAAUUUUUCAAACAUUAGAAGAGGUCGUUGCAAUUGUCAAAAACCUCAAGGUGAUGUUUUUGAAAUUAUCCCUGAAAAUGUUAAGGAUCGUGAAUGGUGCUCAGCAGCUGCCGUAGUACCGCGGUAACUUCGCUUGGGUCAGUAACAAUUUAUGAAGAAGAGAAAAGCCGACCCAUAACUUCGCUUGGUGUCCUUCGGUAGCUUGCAGGGGGAUAUGGUUCCUGACCGUCGAUCCCACCAGCAGCUUGGAGUCAUAUGGUUCGCAGCGGUCGAUCCCACCAGUUCCAUCGGUGAUGAGGCUGAUGGAACAGGUGCUAAAAGUGGCGGGGACUAUUCUAAAUUCUAAAUCCAAGCCUGAAGGUGGAAACUGGGAACAGUUGUUGUACACUACUACACUCGCAGCGAAGUAGAGAAGAACAGGACAUCCCAUUUUGCCAAGAAAUAGAAACCUUGCUAACAGGGAGCACCUACUAGUAGCAUUAUUCAGCAUGGUUAUUAAACUCGGCUUAGUCCGACGGUUCAAUCGAUCAACCCGAUGAAUCGAUCAUAAAAUCGAGUUAAAUUCUUAAUAAGAUCGUUUCUGUAUUGAACCCGUUAACUUUUCAAUGGAUCGACAGUUAAAUUAAUCAAUUUUAUAAGGAACUCGAUCUACGAAAAAUUUUUAUAACAUUGCUAGAAUGAAAAUUUGAACGCGAUGACCUCAUGCAAAGAAGUAGACUACCAUUACCACUAGACCAGCCCAUCAUUUGUUAUUUAUUUUGUUCUUAUACUAUAUAUUAGAGUCUUAUUCUUAUUUUAUUUCUCUAAAACAAAAUUUAUUUGAAAUUUUGUAAUAAUAUUUUUAUUAUUCCAUGAACUCUAUAAAUUAUGAAAUUGAUUUAAAAAUAACAUAUUACACAAAUCAUUUUAAAGACAAAUAUUAUUCUUAAUAAACUUUUGUACUUAAAUUCAUAAAUAAAUUAGAUAAUUACACUUAGAUAAAAUUUUAUACUUGAAAUUUGGUGGAUUACUAAUUAAAUUUAGCUUAUUAAUUCUUAUAAAAAUUAAGGAAUCUAUAAUAAAUUAAACUAACUAAAUAUUUAUUAUGGUAUAAAAAUUAUAAAACAAAAUAUUUACAUAUAUGUAGUGACCUACCGAUUGGAUCACUCAUCCAUCGAUUGAAUCAAUGGGUUUGUUUGGAUUGUGUUUUAUUUGGAAUAUUUUUACUGUAGCAUUUUUUGUGAUGUGAUGUGUGUGAGAUAAAAAGAUAAUUGGGAAGAUAAAAAGGUGUAUUGAAAAUUAUAAUAAUGAUAUAAGCAGAUAAAAUUGAAGAAAUAAAAUACAAUCCAAACAAAUCCAAUAAUCCGCUGACCCAUCCCUUUCAUCGGAUUCCUCGCCAAAGCCAGGCCGGUUUAAUAGCUAUGCAAAGCAAAAUUAAAAAAAAUGAAGCUUUGGGAAAAUAGCUGCGGAAUCGAGGCAUUUUCCUAAAUUAUAUUCCAUAAGAUAUUCUGAGGUCCGCUUUACACUUACAGACAUUACUCCUAGUCCUACACUCUUACUGAGACAUUUGCUGACGCACACUGUCCAACACACACACACGCAGCCACCCAGUCAGCCAGUCCUCUCGCUUUCUCUCUCUUCACUCUCCUCUCUCUCUCUCUCUCUCUCUCUCUCUCUCUCUCUUUUUCUGUCCGUCUUCUUGCCGUUUUGUUGGUUUGUCACAGAGACACUCCACUCGCUGCUGCUCCAGAGAGAGAGCGCUCCCAAUGUCCUCUUUCUCGGGCCCGGCAAGAGAAACAAACAGAUAAUCGUUGUAGUCUCUUCUCUUGUCCAGGUGAACGCUGGUUGUCUUCCAGACAGACACCAUAACACAAAUAAGGCUUCCUUUCUCUUCUCCUCUCUUCUUUCUAAUAGACUGAAAAAGGUGAAGGAAAACCAAGAAAGAUAGUUGAUGGGGAGGAGCUUCAUACUCGUACUUGUUACUUCCCUUCUACUAAUGCUCAUUGGUAAUGUGCCUAUUUUUGUGUUCCGUCCUUUUUGAUGUUUUCAUUUCCCAUUUUUGGCUCAUUGUGCAGUCCUCCUCUUCUUUUGAUCAACUGCUACUAGUAGUAUUUGUUUCAGCACCGACAUCUUGAAUAGUUCUUUGGUCAAGGUGACUUGUUUUUUCGGGCUAUGCACCCAACCCACUUAAUCAUUUACUAAAACUUUUCCUGUGGGGUAUUUCUUUUUCUAUAGUUUUGGGGUUUUUUUAAACCAAUUUUGCACCAUCCCUAUUGUCUGUUUUAUGUGUAUUGUUUCUCAAUCACUUUGCACUGUCAGUUCUGCAUCUUUGUUAUAACGUGCGCAACAAUGCAGGGGAGAGGUGCUUGUUAUGCGUUUGAGCCUUGUCAUUUUUGCCUAUUUACUGUUAAUGGUUUUUUUUUUGAGCAAUGCAAAACUUUGCUUCAUUAGCUGCAUAAUUGGUGUAGAUAUAGCUUGAAGGAAUAUGAAGUGUGUUUGUUUGCCAAUUUUUGCUAAGCUAUGGUAAGUUCCAUUAGCAUUUAGACUAGAUAAUUGUUUAAGAUGAUUAUAUGUUGGAUCCGGCUCCAUCUAUACACAAGUACACAAGGAAGGCUUGAUGAAGCUACAAGUUCCUCAAUAUCUUUGUUAACACAAUGUCAGAAUGUGAGUCUUGGCGGUUUCUUGGACUUCAAAUGAACAAGGAAGUCAAAUGAAUAUUUUCCCCAUCCCUCCUUGCUUGCUAGUGGUUCGUGUCUUUCUAAUUCCAAUUGUAGAUUUAAGGAACAUUUUUCUGAUCUUUGGGCUAGAAUUAUGUUGUUGACAUGGUCCUGUCUGUGAUGUGAAUUUAUUAUCUAAAGCAAUAUGUAAUAACCUUGUGACAGAGUUGCAUGCAGUUAUUCUUUAGUACUGUUUUGCAUCUUGCAUAUGCGUGCGUCUUUUUGUAUACUCUUCCGUUGUUGCCAUAGAUAAACUAUUUUAGGUGGAAUUUGUCGUCUUCCAUCGUUUUAUUUUCUAUGACAAGAGCAAUAUAAAACACUUCUAUAGUUUCUUUUGGUGUUAUUUUAUUGCCUUAGCAGUCCUUUUGGGUGUGGCACCACCUGAAUUCCUGAAUUCUGUACUUUGAGUAGUUGAUGUGCCUCGAUGAUGGGCGAAACUAAUGUUCACCUUCGAACAAAUGCAGUGUAAGAGACUAUUCAGAUGCCAACAAUGAUUCUUGGAUAUUCGUGUAUGCAAUGUCUUGUAUCGGUCCAUGCAUUUGUCAGUAGAUCACAGUCACUACCUCAAUAACACUUAGGCUUAAAGCAGUUUACUGGAGCUUGGCUUCAAAGCACAUGCUGUGAUGCCGAUGCAAAUUUCUGAUUGUUAAGAUGCAUGGAAAGCACACGAAUGACUGUGGACUCCUUUUUUUACUUUUUCUUUCUUUGUCUGCUCCAAUAUUCUCCUCACUAUCUACUUCAAGAAGUUAGUCAGAUUAAAUGUUAUUUUUCUUUUUCUACUGAGACUUCACAAACAAAAUUUGACAGGAGUGUGCCAAGGGAGCAAAGUUGGAGUUUGCUAUGGAAGAAAUGCUGAUGAUCUUCCCACACCAGAUAAAGCUGUACAAUUGAUUCAAAAUCAUAACAUUAAGUAUGUGAGGAUUUAUGACUCUAACAUCCAAGUUCUGAAGGCCUUUGCAAAUAGUGGAAUUGAGCUGGUGAUUGGUAUUCCAAAUUCAGACUUGUUGCCAUUCUCACAAUUUCAAUCUAAUGCUGAUACUUGGUUAAGAAACAACAUUCUUCCAUAUUAUCCAGCCACAAAGAUCACAUACAUAACAGUUGGUGCUGAAGCCACUGAGGUUCCCAAUAAUGUCUCUGCGAUGGUAGUACCUGCUAUGCAGAAUGUUUUCACUGCUCUGAGAAAGGCUGGUCUUCACAAGAAAAUCAAAGUUUCCACUACUCAUUCUUUGGGUGUUUUGUCCCGGUCAUAUCCACCUUCAGCAGGGGCUUUCAAUAGUAGCUAUGCAUUCUUUCUGAGACCCUUGCUGGAAUUUCUUGCUGAGAAUCAGUCACCUUUCAUGGUUGAUACAUACCCUUACUAUGCCUACAGGGAUUCCUCUAGCAAUGUUUCCCUGGACUAUGCUCUAUUUGAGUCAUCGUCUGAAGUAAUCGACCCAAAUACUGGUUUACUUUACACAAAUAUGUUUGAUGCCCAGAUUGAUGCUAUUUACUUUGCUUUGAUGGCUCUCAAUUUCAGAACCAUUAAAAUAAUGGUGACCGAGACAGGCUGGCCUUCCAAAGGAUCUCCUAAAGAAACAGUUGCAACUGCAGACAAUGCCCAAACAUACAACACAAAUCUGAUUCGCCAUGUCAUCAAUGACACUGGCACUCCAGCAAAGCCAGGACAGGAGCUAGAUGUAUACAUCUUUUCCUUGUUCAAUGAGAACAGGAAACCAGGGUUAGAAUCUGAGAGAAACUGGGGCUUAUUUUUCCCGGACCAGACAAGUGUAUACAACCUUGACUUCACUGGCAGGGGUACAGUGGAUAUCACAACAGGUGCCAACAUCACCAGUUCAAAUGAAACAUGGUGUGUUGCAGCAUCUAAUGCUUCUGAUGCUGACCUUCAGAAUGCCCUCGAUUGGGCUUGUGGAUCUGGGAAUGUGGAUUGUUCUGCUAUUCAGCCAAGUCAGCCUUGUUUUGAGCCAGAUAACCUCAUAUCUCAUGCAUCAUAUGCUUUUAACGGUGUGAGUGCAGGCAAGUGGUCACCCACCCACCAUAAUGCCAUAUUCAUAUUUUGGAUUCGACUUGGGUAGCAAAAGUCCGGGCAAAUAGGCAAGUAACAGUCGAGAGGACGAUAUUUUUUUCAGAGCUGUUGGCAUCAUCUGAUUCUUGAACAGCGACAGGAGCCUCCGAAAGCACUGCUCUUGUGGUACCGUCAAAAUACUACUGCUCCGAAAGCACUGCAUCUACCCAAAGAUAAACGAGAGACAAAAGUUACAACAGUCAUGGGUCAUUAUCUCAGACGACUGAGAGAAGAGAAUUAAAACACAAGUUAUCUAAUGGAUACGAACAAAUGAUGACACAAAGCGAAUUUCAAUACCUCAUCCUCCUCGUUAAUAAUUGGCACAGGACAGGAGCCAGCAAAUUAUUAUUAUUAUUGUCAUCUACCCGUAGGCUUUGAAGCCUUCAGUGCAUCGUACGUACUCAAGCUCAGUGUAUACUGUGCUAGUACCAUUUCUGCGCUAGAGGGGAAAGCGAUCUCGAUGUACUACUGUCCAUCAUCCGUGCUCCUUGCACUGAACGCCGAGGGAUGCUAAUGCUAGAAAACUUGACUGCUGCUGUUUGCUUUUUCUUCUUCAAGAAAAUAAAUGAUAAUGGCGUGAUUUUUGCAAGCACUAAAAAUGACAAAGAAUAUCUUUUUGCAAACUGUUAUGCUACUACUACAUCUAUGGCGUAUAGAUAGAACGGUUGGAAAGAAAAAAGAGAGUAGUGUUAGGUGCAAAGUUCUUGACUUUUCAGCACUUCACCAAUUAAUCAUACAAUUAUAUUAUAUUACGGAGUGCACAGGAGAAUUCGAAUUUCGAAAUCUGGUAGUGGGUAAUCUGCUUCCUUCCCCCCCCCCGGGGUUUUCCCCAUAAAAUUCCCUUGCACUAUUUAAGUCUCUGUUCAUAUAUAUGACAACUCGAGAACGAAGCGGUGAAAUUGCAGAAUUUUGCCAAAGUGAAGUGAGUGGAACAAGUUGACGACUGAAGAAGAUUACCACCGAGGAAAAGAGAGACGAAGAGGAGAGAAUAUGGUUGGCUGAAGCAGGGAUUUUGCAAAGAAGGAAAGUUUGGAUUCCUAAGAGAUUUGCAUAUGUGCGUAAGCGGUCACGAGAUUGUCAGAGAUGCCUGCUCUGCUGUUCUGUGCUGUGCUGAGGAAGGAGAUGGACUCUGGGUGUGGUCUGCUUCUGGUUGUGGAGGGACUUUGGACGCGCUCUAAUGAAUAGUAACACCUUCCAUUCCAAUCCAAGCCUCAGGUUUCAGGUAUCAAUUCUAUUCUAUUCUAUCUUACGUACGUUGUUCGGUUGUUGCAUCGCAUCUCUCUCCCUCUCUCUCUUUCUUUCUUUCUUCAAUUCCUUCUUUAAGGACACGUCGCUCCACAAAGUAAUCUUUUGCUUUUCUCUUUUUCCAUUUUUACAUCUUUUCAGAAAAGAGCCCCAGCCAGUUGGACGAAUCUAAAUUCGAUCGAGACCCCUUCCUCCCUCCGCCCUUUUAUUUAUUUAUUUAUUUAUUUAAUAUAUACAUAUAUAUAUACAUAUAUAUCUUUGUUAGUUACUACUUUUGUAUACACUACUGGCUAUAUACACAUUACUUGUAUGCUUUUUAUACUAAAACUUUAUCGUCAUUCGAAUAUCUUAUUUUUUAAGUGACUAGAUCAAUAAUGAUUUUAAAGUUAAGGAUUGGUCUUGUCUUUUGGGUUUGCGUGUCUACAUACAUACAUACAUACAUACAUACGCAAUCCUCAGCCGCACCUUCUUGUCUGCUAUGCUUCUUCUACGUAGUUUUCUGGGGGAUCCUGUGUGGAUAUUUUCCCAUUUCUAGUAAUUGGUCAAUGUAUCUAUAUUCUACUAAUAACUAAUUAAUGAUGCUUGUCCAUUACAACAAUAAUAUUAUUUAAUUCUUAAGCACAGGCUACAACAAACUCUACCAUCUUUACUUUAUUUCCCAAGCUUGAUUAGUAUGGUGAAAAGCAAGGGAAGAGCUCAGCUUUCGUUAAUUUGGACUACAUUAGCCUGUAAUGAAACUAUGAACAAAUUAAUCUUAGGUUCCACUUUAAUUUUUUGCUUGAAAAUAUUUGUUACUAAUACCCAUGAAAAGAUUAUUGUCUUGUCUACGACACUGACUUAUAUAAGUUUUAGUUUAUAGAUCAAUGUAUAUGCAGAGGGGAUCGGCUUGUGUAACAAGAUACGAGCAUUGAACAAACAAAUUUUAUGAUACAUGAAAGAGUUCAAGGCUCCAAGCUCACACAUUUUUUCAACCUCUCGGAAUUUCGUCUAGUACAAGAUUUUCUCAGCCAGGGCAAAAAAAAAAAAAAACAAACAAACAGUACUGUAAAAGAAUGGCAGCAGUUAACCAAGAAUUAGAGAUUUCCCUCUUGUCUUUGUAACCAAGAAUUUUGAUUAUAAAUCAACUGACUUCCUUCCAAAUUUCCCUUUCAUUUUCCACGUUCGUAUGCACGAUUUAGAGAUGUUACUGUUGGACAACUUUCACAAAAAAGGAAGCACACCAGCUUUUUAGCUGUAAAUUCUCAAAUUAUAGUCCCUUAGCUUUUGACACCCCGUUUUCAAGUUCCCUUAAUCUCUCCUUCCUUCACAUCAUCACAUGUGCCUUCUUAACCCCAUCUCUAAAGUAGCAGUAGUAACUUCUCAGAAGCCUAGGCCCCCCUUUUCUCCCCCACCAUCUUCUUUAGAGCGUUUUUCCUUACCUUUUUCUCUUUGAAAAUUAUCAUCCCAGAUAAUGAGCUGCGAAGAUGGUGCUAUUUUCAGUUACAACUUCAGGCCUAAGGUUUCUCCAGACUUAAUUCUUUUGAAGGCUUGACAAGCUAAGCCACAUUUUCAAGAAAAUGGGCAGAGCAACAAGGUGGUUGAAGAGUUUGUUUGGGAUAAAGAGGGAUAAGGGCCAGAAGGAGAUUAAUCCAAAUUCCGGUAGCCAGAGAGAAAACAAAUGGACGGGAAUGGGCCAUUCGGGAAGAGACACUGCUGAUGGGCUGUGUUCAAAUCCAAACACCAUUCCACCCAAUAUUACCCCGGCUGAAGCUGCAUGGUUGAGAUCUUUUUACGCUGACUCUGGUGACAAGGAGCAAAGCAAGCAUGCCAUAGCAGUUGCUGCAGCCACCGCCGCUGCCGCUGACGCCGCCGUCGCCGCUGCACAGGCUGCGGUGGCCGUGGUUAGGCUCACCAGUCAGGGCAGAGGAGGGUCCAUGUUUGGUGGUGGUGGUGGUAGUCGUGAAAAGUGGGCCGUUACAAAAAUUCAAAGUGUUUUCCGCGGAUUCUUGGUAAUUAAUUACUACUACUACUACUUUUGCUUCGAAGGUGUAUAACGUAUAUUUGACUGACAGACACGGUUUCUCAGUAUCGUAGUCACAUCCGUUUCCUUGUCUUCUUUCUUUUUUUUUUUUGGCUGUCCCUUUUACCAUUAUAUGCAUUAAUUUUGGUUCGUUCUUACUAGAAAAAUGGAAAUUGCUAAACGGGUAUGGUGUGAAUUAAUCAGGCAAGGAAGGCACUGAGGGCUUUGAAAGGACUUGUGAAACUACAAGCACUAGUGAGAGGUUAUUUGGUGCGUAAACAGGCGUUCGCUACAUUUCACAGCAUGCAAGCUCUUAUAAGAGCACAGGCCAAUGUUCGUGCCCAAAAAACUCGAGGCCUCCUCGAUUCUACUGCUGCAAGUUCAAACCGGCAGUUUCAUGCUGCAAAUUCGGCGGUAAGAACUUGUCUCUGUGCAUCUAUUUUUGCAAGGAAUUACAUCUUAAUUUAAUUUGUGUCCAUCUUGGUUAAUUAGCAGGAAAAGUUUGAUGAGGGUAGAAGUAGGCAGAAUUCAUUUCAUAACAGAAGGCUCUCUGCAUCGUUUGAUAGCAUUAACUCAAAUGCAAUCGAUGAAAUCCCAAAGAUUGUGGAGAUAGAUACUGGAAGGCCUAAAUCAAGAUCCAGAAGAAGCAGCGCCUGGGUAUCAGAUUCCAUUUCCGGGGAUGCCCAGACUCUAUCCUCUUCGUGUCAAUGCCGACAUCCUCCGCCCCACCUAUCGAUCCCUGAUUGCAGAAACUCUCAAGACUCCGACUGGGGACUGACUGGGGACGAAUGCCGCUUCUCCACCCCUCAAAGCACUCCCAGAUUCUCCAAUUCUUGUGGGACAAAUCCACCUGUCACGCCAGCCAAGAGUGUUUGCGUGGAAAGCUUAUUCAGGAAUUGCCCAAAUUAUAUGGCUAAUACGCAGUCAUUUAAGGCCAAACUGAGGUCUUACAGCGCACCGAAGCAAAGGCCUGAACCGGGGUCCAAGAGGAGGCUAUCGCUCAAUGAAAUGAUGGAGUCCAGAAGUAGUCUAAGUGGGGUCCGAAUGCAGAGGUCAUGCUCUCAAGUCCAAGAAGUUUUGAGUUUCAGGAAUGCUGUUGUCGGUAGGCUUGCAAGGUCUUCAGAAUUCUCAAAAGAGCAAUUAUACAACAGGGAUUCUUACUCGGAAGAAUAUUUUGAGUAGCGAUCGAAAGAAUGUGCUGCAACUAUCAAUUCGCAAGCGCAAACAGAGCAUGUAAUUGUCUAGAAUCUAGAUCAUCCUAGAGACAUAGGGCAAGAUGUAAUCUUUACUCCCGUUUUCAUUGAAGAAGUGAUCAAGGUCGGUUAUACCAGUACUGACGAGGUUAAUAAUAAUUGUGUGUCUAAUUUUUCGUGUUGCUUAGGUGUGCCGUUAUUACAACAUUAACUCGACCUCUGCACAAAAAUGUACCGUACAUCCAGUACCACAAAUGCUGAGAGCCAACAAUUCCUUUCCUGGAAUCAUUUGAAAUGACAGGGCUUAGCUAGUUUGGACGGCAAUGCUAUGAUUCAUUAUUGCCUCCGUCCCCCUCUCUGUGUGGUUGCAUUCUAAGUAUUCAAAUUUUUUUUUUCUUUCACCUUUAGGGGCAGUACCGUCAUAAUUUGUUACGAGUGCUACAAUGUCAAUAGGAUGAUGACUUCUGUUGUCAUGUGCGGGUGUGAGGUUGAUGUGCUGCUGUAUCUAAUUUGAAAUGGAAGAGCUAUCUGGUUUUCUAAUCUGAAGAAAUAAUGGGAAUCUCAUAUGUGACCCACUUCUCCAUUAUGUAAACAAAAGAUCACCAUAACUUGGGCUAGUAGCAUCUGUAGUCUGGGACCUCUCUGAUUCAUUCCAUUGGCACAUUACUUGGGCACUCUCAACAAGCUUUGCAGCCUUUUCUUGUUUCUUGUUUUGGCAGAUAGAAAACAACUUGGCAGCCGAAGCUUUUAGGGUCGCUGGCUCAUUUCUGCUGCAGCAACAACAACAAACAGCUACUACGACUGGGUUUCUUGUUUCAUCAGCAGGAUGGUGGGUGGUUAAGCAGCAACAUUAUUGCUUCCUAUGGCUCCUCCCUAACACCAACAGCAAUAGGCCUUUUAUUGGGCGCAAGAUAGUACAAUUUUCCAUUCCGCCUACGUGCCGAAUUGUCAAUUGUUGUUUUCUUUUGAGUUUUAGUUUUGACAAUGGGCGUCGCAGAAGGCUUGAUUCCAGCCUUCCAUUUUUUGCGUCUUUAUCUUCUUCUUGUCUUGUUGGAUUAUAAUAUCUAGACUAUAGAUGCCAGGUAGACUGGUAGGCUUGGUCAAGGACUCGAGAUUCAGGAAGAAGGGGAAAAAGAGUAGGAAAAACUUUGUGCAACUUUAAGGUGUCGUAAUUGUAUAGCUAAAUUACACCCCCUUCAUCUAACGUGAAGGUUUGGAUUCAUGAUAAAGGAGUAUGAAUUUAGCCCUCACUUAAAAAGUAUAAUGUGUGUUUCUACAUUUAAAUUAAUUUAUAUGGUGAUUCGAUCAUAUUCUCAAGUCACGUUCAUCAUCGUUGGACGGGGAAAUAAGUGUUUCUUAGAUUAUUAUUGAAAGAAAUAAUUUCCUAAAAAGACCACAGAAUUUUGUUUAUCUUAUAUUCCCAUUAUAUAUCAGUAGCACGUGCUCUGCUGGUGAGUUAAAUUAUGGGGUGUUACUAUAACGUAAUGUUGUUACAGAAGUUGGUGGAAAGAUAGCUAGCAAGAAAUAUGCUAUAAGGAGAAAUCUUGUUUUUAUAUAAUCUUGUUUCACACUCAUGUGAUGUGAAACUUUGGGCCAAUUUGAGUGCAUAUUGGACACAUUUAUUUGUCGCCUCCGCCCAUGGACCCAAUUUAAGACUGAUGAGUGAAUGAGGGCAGGAUGUUUUCCACGCCAAACCUUUGACAUCUUGAACUCACGAUUUUUCUCUUGGAUAAAUAGAGCCCAACCCAAAGAUCUGAGCAACAAUGAAUGCAAUAUAUAGAUUUCGGAUUGGGACCUAAAAUGAGUUGUGUCCCUUCCAGCCGAAGAUUGUGCUGUUGUUGAAAUUGUGACUUUCUAGACUGUAAUUGUUCAGUGCGUGCGUUAGCAAAGAGCAACAGAUGUAAAUACCAAAAUAGUAAACUAGACACUAAAAGUAAUAGAGUAAAUCUUAUAUACACACUAUCACUGACUGACAGUAUACACACUAUCACCGUUGGAUUCAUGACACAUGUGUAAAAAUUGAAUUUCAAAUUCAAAUUUUGCAUAGUUAUCAUUCAUUCAACGCUGACAGUGUAUACAAUGUCAGUGUAGGAAAUAUUAAUUCAAAGUAAUAAUAUGAAAAAUAUAGCAAAUUAAGUUUUAUAGACGAGAUUGAUUGGGGUACACCACGAAAAAUUUAACGAGCAAUGUUUAAAAUUUUUGUGCCACAAUCAAUCUCAUCUAUCCAAAUUCAAUUUUCUACAAAUGCAGGCUAUAAACUUCAUCAUUCAAUUGCUCCGCUAUUUGCAUAAUAAUUGCAGUCCAGAACGUGAACUGCAACAUAACAAAGAUAACGUUUAAUUUCGCGAAAUGUUAUUUGACCUUCCAUUUUUGUUAAUCACAUUUCUACUAUCAUUUUAAUUAUAUAAUUUUUUAUUUAGUAGACUAUAUGAUAAAAUAAACGAUGAAAGUGCAAAUAACAAAAAAAUAGAGUGCAGACAACAUUUCCCUUUAAUUUCAGAUAAAUUUUCCUUUUUCCUGUGUGGGCCGGGUGGAUGCGCAAUUUUCAAGCAGGAUGGACAACAAGUGGGUUUGGUGCUUUGGAUUGUGGGCUUAGAAUAGAGGGAACGCUCGAGAGAGAUUGGACCGUCUUACUACUGCUUAAGCCUAGCUGUCCUCUUAAUCUUGGGUACACACAAUUAUAGGAUUUGCCAGAUAAUUAUCCCCUAAAAUAAUGGGAUUCAUUCAACCAUCUGAAUUAGAAUCAAAUUGUAAAUCUCAAUCUGAACUAUUGUUAAUCGUGUCUUGAUCACAAGAUUUCGAAAUGAUGCUUACCUUCCUUAAAACACCCUGAUUCUUUUUAUAUUGUGCCAAAAUUCUUUCUUAGACGCCGGGGCCCAAAAAUUUGCGAAAACUGAAGAAGCAUCUGCGGUGCAAGAAUGUCGAAUUCAUUUACUCAGUACUUAUUACUGAUUUACAAUGUCGGCCCAAAAAGGGAACAAAAAAAGAAAAGCAGAAAAAAAAGAAGCUCGUGUAUGUUUGUUAUCUUGAUCAUAUUUUGAUCCAUUCAGAACCAUCGAUGAAGGCAAGCGAAAUAAAAGGCUUUGCUUCCUCAUCUGUAAGUUCUCUGGACCAUGAAACUCUUCCUGCAAAACUUGCCCCUGCUCCGCUGCACUUGUAUUGUCCAUAAAACACCGUCCUGUGCAGAUAUAAGAAAGAGAAAAACAGCGUGAAAUUUUAAUGGCCUCAAAAUAGCUAUAUGACCCCCGCAGGUAGUCCGACGGGUUUUGUAGUCUGGUAGUUAUUAGCACGUUCUGUGAUUGACCCUUGUAUGCUAUCUCAUUGUGUAUUAUUGGAGUAAGAUUUUAUACAGGCUUAAGAGAUUAGUCUGGUUGAAAGGUUGGAAUACCUCCAAAUGAAAAAAAAAAUGGGCUCAUGGGCCGACUAUCAUAUGAUUUUGUUAAUUGGGCAAGCUACUAUAAUUAAAAUGGGUGAGCUAUUACAAUCUUUUUUUGUGGUAAAUAAAUGUACCGAGUUAAAUGUACACUAUCCCCAAAUUAACCAUUUGUACAGAUUUCUUAAUGACUGAUAUCCAGUAUAGUGCAAUACUUGUGGUUGUACACGUGCAUUAGAGACUUGUACAUUGUAAUCAGGUGCAAUAAACAGUAGCCACAAACUAAAAUUGUGUUCACAUCCAGGGCAUUCAAUAAUUUGGACUCUUCUACUUCUAGGACGUAUCCAAGUCUUCAAGUACAUGGCGCUUUCUGAAAGUUGAAUAUUCCUCCAUAUAGGAGCCUUGUGAAAGUUAGGUAAAGUUUGUUUAGGACACUUUAAUGGUUGAUUAUAAGUGGAUUAUAGUAGACAAGAAGAAUAGACACAAACUAAAUAAGGAGUGAGAGUAAGUCAAGGUUAUUGUCCUUGCUAGCUAGCUCUAUAUAUAUAGUGGCAAACAAACAACUGUCGCUGUGGAGAUGCUUGUAAAGUGGUUGUGAGUUGUGACUGAAUACUUUAAACAAAGUUGAUAAUCAUGGUGGAAGAACAGUGUGAUGCAUGCUGGUGCUAUAAUAAGGAAAAGAUAAGUUUGGAUAUACAUAUAUAGUUCGAAAUUGGGGUGGCACCGUCCCAAUACCACCAUCAAAUGCAAUGCUUUUGAUGUGAUACAAACUGACCUAUAAUUGGGCACCAAAUAGAUAGGCUAUAAUUGAGCACCAUAUAGAUACGGAUGGCCAUAUGUUAUGUAUAGUGGAGGAAGAUGAUAAAGAUUUUGUAAUUUUGCAGGGAGGUGAUGAUGAGGAAGAGCACUACUUACAUUUCUCGACUAGGGUCACCCCAGUUAUGCCAGCCUUUUGGAAUGAUAAUGUUGUCCAUAUAUGUGUAAGCGAAGAUUACCCUGGAAAAGGGUCCCCAUGCCCGUCCUAGGUACAGGGCUCCUGAACCCGUGACCUUACAGUUUACAAAGGAGAACCCUGUGUCCUCCAACAGGCUGCUUCUCCCUUGUGCUGUGACUGCCCCCGUUAACUGUGCUAUUGCAUGCACGUGACAACCCUGCGUUUACAUUUUAACCAUUAUGUAUUCUGCCAUCAUCAUUUCAUGAUUUGAGCAUAACUAGGUGCAUGCAGAUGCAGUACAUAAUUGGUUAUGUAAUGUACAUUCUUAAUAGUGUUUCUGUUUCACUAACAUACAAUAGUACCCAGAGGAUUCUUGAUUAGGAUCAAUGUACUUUCUCUAAAUGCAUAUAUAAUGGUAGAAAUUAGUGUUUCUAUUCUAAGUUUAAGUUCUAGAGUAAUAUAUAUAGUUCUCUGGAUCGAAGCAUAAAUUGAUAUAUACAGAAUGCUCCCUCCUAAUUAAUUUGGUUGCCAAUAUAAAAGCCAUAUGUUUCUUGCAACAAUUCUCUUGAACUAUCAGCUAUAACAGGCGAGCUCUAUGUUUAGUGCAGUAGGAUCAUUAGCUGGCAAAUUGAAAAAGGAAAACCAAACUGUAAAUAGAACGGAAACCGAACAAACUCUCCUGAUGUAAGUGAAGCAUGUCCACUUUCAUGUAACACAGUGUUGCUUUUAGAAAAGACACGACUUGUAUCUACCUCCACAUUUCACGUCAUCCCACAAUGAAUUCAAGAACAUACAAUUUUCAUAAAAGGACAUGCGAUCCAAAUUUCAUCAAGUUUUAGUACUUUUUUCUUUUUUAAGUUUUAGUACUUUGUUUGUCCAAUGUAUGUUUUUAGUCCACACAAAAGUGUUCAAUUGAACGAAUUCAAUUUCAACAGGUGAGACCAAAACCAUAUGAACAUGCUAACGUGGCUUUAUUAAGAACGAGGAACAUGAAACAAGAUGCAAGCACUGUAAAGUUUUAACUAACCACUGAUAUGCAAAGACAAUAAUAUUAUUGUUUGUCGAUUUCUCAAGGGAUCAGUGGAGAUAGUUACCUCAAACAAAGAGAGCCCGUUACCAAAGAUGAAAUCCACAGAGCCUUCGAUGUAACAAUCUUUGUAAUAAUGCCUGCCUACGUGGUCAUACAGCGUAUCCUGUGCACCCAAGAAUCUGCAACCCACAAAAACUGCUGUAUCUGCCGAUAUCCUAAAUGCAACAGCUUGCUUUCCAAUGGCUCCUGGGGGUGGUACUGGAGUUGUAUUCUGCAUGCAUUUUUUUUUUUUUUGGCAAAUAUUACGUGAUCAUGAGAUUAAAAUGUUAAUUAUGACUAGCCAAUAACAAAAGAAGGGGAAAAUGAUAUUACCUUGAAUGUGAUGUUCUUGGCUAUGAAAUAUGGAGAAUUCACAGCAAAUGUUGCAGAAGCAAAUGUGCCAAGAGGCUGGCCUUUUGCUCCGGGUGUUUGUGCUGUAUCUCCCCAUUGAACUAUAGUUUUAUCUGCUCCCGCUCCCUGUAUGGUUAUGUAUGACUUCAGCUGAGGUAUUGUAACCUUUUCCCUGGAAAACUCGCAUUUUUGGGGGGGUCAAAAAGAAAUGAUCAUUUGAUGGAGAGAGAGCAACAUGAAAAUAAUACCAACUGUGAAAAAUGAGGAAGGAUGAAAGAAAAGACGCAUUUCAAAAACCACAUGCAAAGUAGGUACCUGUAGUCAGGAAACCAGUUUGUAGCAUAUUGAUCAGAAGCUAAAGGACAACGUGCAACAAACCGACAUAUUUCUUUUUCAAUGGUGGCGAAAUAUAACAAAAACUUGAGCAUGACUACCUCUUAAAUGUACCAUAUUAUAUAGUAAUGCACUAUUUUCUCUCUUUCUCUCUUCUUGGUGGUAAAAUUAUGCAUUUACCAAGCCUUGACAGAAAAUACCACAAAGAACAGAGAAAUGUAUUGAGUAUAUCCUAAAACACUUACGUGUAAACACCCGCAUGAACCUUGAUCAACACUCUAACUAGAUUAACAGUAGGGAGAGAAUCAAUAGCCUGCUGAAUUGUAGUAAAGUCACCGUAGUUUGGAUUUUUGUCGACCGUAAGAGUGUAAGAAGGGAAGAGCUUAUUCUUGGCGGUCUUGAACACAGAGUGAUUGAGGCUGCCAACAAAGUUUACCCACUUCAUGAAUUGUUGUUCAGAGUAUUGGACUUGGGUCAUAUUCACUGCAAAUAGCUUCCCUGAAGCUGUUCUUUUUGGCCUAAUGCCUUUGGUGUGGCAUACUACUGUAUUGCUUCCAUAGCUCAGAAGAAUGAAAAUGAUAGAAUGUACAAGAAGUUUAGAAGUGGGCAUAUCGAUUGAUCUCUACAGAAUGAGAAUGAGAUCGAGAAGAGGAGAAAAGAAAAAGAAGGAAAAAAGCCGUACUAAGGAAUGUUGUUUUGGGGUUAGGAAGUGCAUUAAGCUGGCUCGUAAAUUGGUUGUGUAUAUAUAUAUAUAUAUAUCAGUACUACUUGGGAAUUAGUGCUUAGUAGUAACUGCUGCUGCCUUUUCAUUUUAGGUGGAAAAAGCGAUGCUAUAUUUAGAUGAUCUUGACAUGGAGUGAGAGGUCACGGGUGCCUCUAAUUGAAUCAUUGUGGAAUGUUGGGGAAGAACUAAGAAGGGGGAAUGGUUGGGUUGGGGAGGGGGAUCACAGGAAAACGAUCUCAGACCACAAAGCGAGUCCUAGGGAGGCAUGCACUUUUCGGCCUAACAAAAACGUUUCUUUCCGAGUUUUUAAAGCUCAUUCAGAGUUGGUGGUGCCCGUGACUAUCUCUAUGUUUCCGUAUGAAGCUGAACAUAUUCUGCUUUCAGAAAUGACGUGUUUUUUGUGCAGCAGGGGAAAUGUUUUUGGUACUCUAUUUUUUUUUUUUUGUUAUUUGCGCUCUUACCAUUUGUUUUAUCAUAUAAUCUAAUAAAUAAAAAAUUAUAUUAUUAAAAUGAUAAUGAGAGUGUGAUAAGCAAAAAAAAGAAGUGUAAAUAACAUUUUUUGCACAGUAAUUUCUAAUUAGUUCUAUUCAACAUAUAGUACAGGGAAGGGUGCUUGCUACUGUAGUUGCCAAACACUCGAGGAAAUGUGGGUUUCUAUCUUUGGUUUAUAUGCGUCACAUGAAUCACAUAUAUUUGCUAACAAGUUCCAAAAGCCAAUAUCGUUGUAGAAGUUUGUCAGAGAAGAGGACUAGAAAGAAAGCUAUUAGAACAAAAAUUUUCUUUUACAGGAGGGAUUUUAGAUUCAUGUAACAUAUACAAAAAUCAAAUUUUAUAUUUGAAUAGAAAUCAUGCGUCAUGUAUCAACAAAUGCUACUUUUGGAAAUUUUUUUUAGAUGGUGCAGAAAAAAUUAAUCUUAGAAAUCUUUUUUCUUCUUCUAACCUUAUUUGACACCCAAUUGUUGUUCUUUUGGGCCAGGUUGAUUUCACAUUGUGCAAAUUUAUAUCUCACCUUGUUGGCCCAUGGACCCAAUUCUAAAACCGUUGUGGCAAUAGCAGGGUGUAGAAAUACCUAAUUCACUCUCUCCCACCCUCUCUCUCUCUUCUGGGUUUUUGAGUUUAGAGCCCAGAGGAAGGAAACCUUACAUGUACACCUAAUAGUGUGCCAAGUACAUAUUGUAUUACAAAUGAUUAUACACUCGUGCGUAUAAAUACAUAUAGGAUGCGUAUAAAGAUGCAUAAGUUAAGUAUUAUUUUCAGGAGUCACGGUCCUCGUCACCACGUUCUAUUAACAUUUGAUAAGAAUACACUUAUCAAUGCAACGUUGGGUUUUACACUCCAAAUAUUUCUUUUUUCGCUCACCCCUAAAAUCAUAUUUCUUUGCACGGAAAAGACAUUUAUGGAGUAUUUUAUACACAUAACCCAAGAUGCUAUUCUUUCUUGACUCGUACCAUGCCAAACAUGCCAAUUAAUAAACAAGUAGAGGCUGCAAAUCUAGGUAAUAAUUGUACGAUUAUGGGCAAAAGUUAAAAACUUGGAUAAAUUCGAUCUUGUAAAUUUAGUGAUUCAAAUUUUAUCAACUAUUGAAUAUUUGAGCCGGAGAGAUCGUAUAGCAAAUUUUAAACUACUAAAUUUACAUAGACCGAAUCUAUUCAAGUGUUUGUUCGGGCAAAAUGCGACAAAUUAUAUGAAUUUAGCUUCAUUGUCUAUUUCUACAUCAGUUGGCAAACAAUCAAAGCUCUAAAAGCGACAUAAAUAUAUCAGGUUUUGGUUCGAUGGGAACGGAAUCAACAUCAAUUAUUGAAAAGUUUACAAAAAACCGCAUCUUACUCUUUGUCCUUCCUCUUCCUUGGAAAUAACAUCCAUCACCCCACCCUCCCAUCUGCCUUGCCCCACUUGGAAAUAACCUUAAAAGGACCGAAAAUAGUAGUAGUCUCAGAAUAUUUCUUGCAGACUAAACCCUGAUUUCCAUCUUAGGGAGAGCUCCCAAGAAGCAUCUACUAUUUCGUAAAAUUUGUUCCGACCUCUAAAACUGUCAUGAAUACGAACGUGAUCUCAAGCUUCAUAGCCAUAGCAACUUCCAUCUCCUUCCUCCUCCUCUCACCCCCGUCAAAGUCCUUUUAUCAUUCCUUGUUCUUAUCUGAUUCCCUUUCAUGCAAUGAAUCAAUAGCAAACCACCUCUACAUCCUAACCAAGCGGCCUCAUGUUGCUGGGUCCGAAGCCAAUGCCGAAGCAGCGGCUUAUGUUCUAUCCACCCUCACUUCCUAUAAGGUUCGAUCACAUAUAACAACCUAUGAAGUUGCCUUGACUUACCCCAUCUCACGUUCCUUGACCCUAAAACCUACUCCUCAAGACAGCCCCGUCAAGUUCGAUCUCCACCAAGACAUUUACGACGGUGAUCCUCAUGCCGACGUGGCAGACGAAGUCCUACCGACGUUCCACGCAUAUGCCAAGUCUGCCACUGUAGCUGGACCUGUAGUAUAUGCCAAUUACGGGCGCGUACAGGACUAUGCUGUAUUGAAGCAAAUGAAAGUAAAUGUGUCAGGGAAUGUUGUAUUGGCAAAGUAUGGAAAGAUAUACAGAGGGGACAUUGUGGAAAAUGCUUAUGCAGAAGGUGCUAUAGGUGUAUUAAUUUACACAGAUAGGAAGGAUUACGGUGGAGGAGGUGAUGCAAAAUGGUUUCCUGAUGACAAGUGGAUGCCUUCAAGUGGAGUCCAGGUGGGAUCCGUGUACAAUGGGGCCGGUGAUCCCACUACACCUGGCUGGCCUAGUUCAGGGUUGUGCGAGAGACUAUCAGAUGAUGAUGCGGAGAAAGGAGGAGAAGUUCCAUUGAUACCAUCAUUACCUAUUUCAUGGGCUGAUGGUGACAGAAUCCUGAGGUCCAUAGAUGGACAAGUGGCAAAUGACGAUUGGCAGGGAGGGAAAGAUGCUCCUGUCUACAAGGUUGGGCCAGGACCAGCAAUUCUGAAUCUUAGUUAUACUGUAAGUCUCGAAAAACCAGCAAAAUGUCGAAUCUGUAGAGCUGAAACAGGCAUGCAGUAACUAAGAAAGCCCAUACCGUGAGUUUUGCAGGGAAAGCAAGUUAUAACCACAAUCCAAAAUGUUAUUGGAAUCAUUGAAGGUGUAGAAGAACCUGAUAGGUAAGUUUGAAUAAUUCAAACAUGCAAUGUACAGCAAAUUAAUACGCAUCUCUGAAACAAUUCUGCAUGAUGAAAUUGUCACGUAAGAAAACGACAAGCAAAUUGUUAUAGCAAGCCCUACAAUAGAAAUGAUAGCCAAAAUGAAAUCAUAAUAUUAUUUUCCAAAAAACUGAGCCUGGAUAAACAAAAUCAAGCUUACCGAGUAACUUUCUAAUGCUAGAUUUUCCUCACACAGUUGAAAAUUUUCUAGAUAUGUCAUACUUGGGAAUCACCGGGAUGCAUGGACAUUUGGAGCUGUUGAUCCAAAUAGUGGUACAGCAGCCCUGCUUGAGGUAUGUAAAAUUUUGGUGCUUAAAUCGUCUUAACAUCCCUAGAUUCAAAUUCCAAGGAAAAUAGCAGUUCAACUGAUAUUUUUGAGAGAGACAGGUUGCACACAGGAUGUGGAAGCUCCAGGAAAAAGGUUGGAAACCUCGGCGAACAAUUAUAUUUUGUAAUUGGGAUGCUGAAGAAUAUGGCCUGGUUUGUCUUUCGCUCCUCUCACUGUAGCACAUUCACUCGUCCACAUGCAGCCCUGGCUCCUUUCAAAUAACCAAAGCCAGAAAGAGGCUGUGUGAGCUAAUACAGGCAGAACAUAUUUGUUGUUUUAACUGAAUUAUAAGCAGUUCACCAUCUUCAGAUAGGAUCAACAGAAUGGGUUGAAGAGAACAGGGAAAUGCUAGCAUCAAGAGCUGUAGCCUAUAUGAAUGUUGAUAUUGCAGUUCAAGGAUUAGGAUUUUAUGCCUCUGCAACUCCACAGCUCGAUGAGCUACUAAUAAAAGCAACUAAGCAGGUACGAAACGAAUCUCAAGGGUUGGGGCCACAGGGUUUUACAACAUUGCCAUAUGCAUUAACAAUGAUUGCAUAUGGUUAAUCCACGUAGAAAGCAACAAGUUCAAAAAUAUAUAUAUAUAGAGGUGCAAAUGUGGUUUAACAGCACAAGAAUACCAGUCUGUCAAACUUCAAAUGUCAAUUUAUGUUUUAUCUUUCUAUUCUCACUCAAAUUAGAUAAACUUCUGACUUAGGUCCAAGACCCGGAUAACUCCUCGCAAUCCAUCUACCAAUCCUGGAUUCGCUCCAGUGAAAAUCCUAAGGUAAGCAUCUUAAGACAAUUUAAAUAAGAAAGAGAGUUGCAUUAGAGUUCUUAAAUGUGAACCUUGGGGUUGUGGGAGCAGGGUAAACAUUACAAGCACUGAAUAAAUGGCCACGUCCUAGACCAUUGUGCUACCACUUUGAUUUAUAAUUUAUCUUUACGAGAUAACUCAAUUGAUGCUUUUCAACUAAGGCAUUUAGCUACUUAGGUUUAAAAUCAAACUGCCCCUGAAUACCAAGAAAUACUAAAUCUAAAAGGUCAGCUUCUGGAUUUCUGUGGCCUUGAUAAGUGGCUUUUGGAUUUCAAUAUUGACAAACUGACCAAAAGGUCUUUAAGAUUGGAAGGUUAGGAGGAGGAGGAUCAGAUUAUUCUGCCUUCGUUCAGCAUGUUGGUGUUCCAGCUACUGAUAUCUCUUAUGGAGAAGGUAAAAUGAAUAUAUUCUGGUAAUCUUUUUCACAAAGCAAGAGAUGCUUGCAUCAAUGGUUAUUAGGCAGAUAUCCAAUUAAUUUCACCUUAAUGUAAUUUGCUCUGUCUUUUCAUUAAUUCCUUCACAUAGUAAGCUCCUAUGUCAUCUCCAAAACAACCCCCGGCCCUCUUCCCAACCCCCCUGUCCUCUCCCCAGAAGGCAAAAUAAAUGAAAAAAAAAAGAGCAGAAUCUAAUAAGACCACUGAGCAUUCAAAGCAAAACCUCGUACCAUAAAGCAUCCUAAAUAAAUAUAUCAGAGAAAUAAAUAGAAAAACAAUGUAAAAGCUCAAAACUUAAAGCAAUUUUUUUCUUUUUAAGCUAUUCAUGAUUCUUCAUGGUAAGAAUCAAUGAAGGGAUUUACGGACCAUGCAAGGAAAAUUAAUUUUUGUAUAGUAGGACUAAGAAAGCAGUAGCUUCGACAUACAAGCAUUAAGAACCAAAAAAAAAAACUUCUAAAAGCAAAAUAAUCUUACCAUCGUCUUUCCUCAUAACAAUUGGUCAGUGAGUGUGAUGAAAUUACAUCAGCCAGUUCUCUAGCAUCACUUACCAUUUGUAUGUAUGUUCAUUCUCCAUAACGUUGUGUUAUACCACUUGACUUUCAUUACAAGAGAAAUAAUGACAUUAUACUCGUUAGGCUCUAAAGCAGUGUAGUAUGACAAAUCACAAAUUUAGAAAAGCACAAAAUCUCCAUUUCUCUAAAAGAACACCCUACUAAGUAUCAUAGCUCUGGAGAUAUCGAGCAUGUUAGCAUAUCUAGGCAAAAAACUUUAUUUAGAUCUGGUGCAUAUUAUGUAUAACACACUCGUAUCAAUCUAACCAGUAUAGAAACAGUGCUAGAUCAGGAUCAACUCAGUACAUUGAGUUUCUUACCUUGAACAAUAACCUAUAAAGAACAUCUUUUUUAAAAAAUGUCAUAAAAACAAGGGGAAGACAGCAAUAGAAAAAGAAAAUUACAGGAUGAGUUGAGAAUAAGAGUCGGAGUAAAUGGUACAGGGACAUCAACCACAAUGUAUCAAACAUUUAAGAGAAAACAAUGGUGUAAGAUCAAGUAGAAGAAGAAGAGACAGAUUUUUUAACAGCCUCAAAACAAGGUUUGCUUACCCAUUAAUUACAUACCUCCUGACUAAUACACAGGCCAUCCAUCCACUCUCUGCUGCUAAUUGACUAGGCUUAAAAUUUUCAUCUACAACCUGCACUAACUCUGAACAACAUCAAAUAGACACCACAGCCUAGAAAUUAAUCCAAAAGAAUAGAGGGACCUGAUGAAGAUACAGAUGCAAGAUUGAUAGGUCAAAUGAGUACAUUUUGCCAGAUGUCUAGGACAAACUCUAAUAGACACUAAGAUCACCAUGAAUCAAGUUAGUUGUGAAGAUCAAUGUAUUUCCCCACCCAAUUACACUUCUAACGUUGCACAAAAGUCAAAACCUUGCCUCUCCCAUGACACUCUUAGAGCAUAAGAAUCUUGAAAAAAUAUAAUUUGCAGAAGAAAACAAAAUAAAAUCAGAAUCAGACCAAUACACUGAGAAUUCUAGCGAAUCAUCCAAGGCACAAUGUUCUAUUCAGUUGUCUUGACAGGCAUGCAUUCAGACAGAUUCUAGCCAACCCUUUAACAUCACUAGCAUACAAAGAACUGGUAAUGACAGAUGCAUAAUUAUCAUGGACUUAACUAGUUGCAAUCGAGAAGCUUGUCUCCUUAAAAAUGUGCAUGAAACAAGAAUUAACAUUUUUAUUGAGUACCAUCAUCUUUACUUACCACAUUACAAACACGUGUUGAGGCUGUGCAAUCAGAGUAGUUCAUAGUACAAGAAUUAAUUCGUAUAGACAUGACCCAGUUGACCUUAAAAGUACAUCAUGUAUAAAUUUUUUUUUCCUUAAGAAACAUAGACUUAUUAUUUCCAGCACUAGAGAUUCUCUUCCAGCACAAAAUAUAUCAUACUAAGCAAAAACGCUAGGCAUACUCCUUUUUAAGAAUCGGUCCAAUUCUUGAACUUUAUGACUUCUAACGUUUUUCAACCAUCACUUGACAAAAUUUGGUGGCUUGUAGAUUAUCCAGUCUAUCACUCAAUGUAUGAUGACUUCAUCUGGAUGAAGAAAUUUGGUGACCCAAAGUUUCACAGGCAUGUAGCAGGUUAGUUAUAAUUUUCUGCUAGAUAGUAGAAUUUACUGCAAUUGCAUAGACAUCUCAAUGGCUUCUGAGAUUAAAAGUUUCAUCACAUAAUUGGGAUGAGCUAUUAAUUAAUCAUCAGAAAUGCCAAUCUUACAGAAUCGAAAGUCACAAAGCAACUCUUAUGUUCAGUUUAAAACAUAAAUUAAGUUGAUCCCGCUUUUGUAAAUUCCCCACCAUCCCCUUAUUAGUAAAUCAGUUAACAUUUGGCAAUGAAAUCAAAAGUUGCAGGAAUCACAUGCAUAAUAAGACGGAUAGUGUGCAGAGAAGUGCAAAAAAUAUAUUAUUUAUUGGCCCUCUCCAAAUGAAAUUUCUUAGUUCAAGCGUCCAUUUGGCUAAAAGAGUUCCUAUAGAAGCAGGGUCUAAAAUCAACAUGGAAGAAAAACAACAAGACCAGGUUUCACUUAUCAGGCAUUCAAAAAAUAAUGCAUAUUAAAUGGAAACACAACAAAAUACUGAAAAACAUUAAACAUAGCAAAACACAGAUUCAUUUAACAGACAGUAUUCAGCAUAACUGACAGAAAUACUAUGUUGGAGAGAUGUGUUAAAGGAGGAGGAAGAAAAAGAAAAUUGCAAAUAGGAAGAAUUAAGAUAAGGCGACGAAAAACUGACGGGCAUAAAGGUUUCGAGCAGCAAGAAACAACAAUAAUUUAUCCAAUAGAGCCAAGAAACAUCAUAAGAACCUAUGAUUGUUUAGUUAGAUGAACAAUGUCAGAAAUGACAACGAAAAUAUGACUUAAUUCAAAAAUUAAAAAAAAAAAAUCAAAUACAGAAGCUUACUGCUUGUGUCAGACACUACACACUUUCAAGGCACUGAAGGGAACUCAAAAGUUUCAAAAGAAACGAAAGAUUACCUUAGACAAGUCAUUGCAUGCUCAAACACUUGCAGGACACAUCUCACCAAAUAUUAAAAUUGAGAUAAAUUUUCAUGUAUAAAGAAGAAACUUUUCAUAAAAAAUUUGGUAGCAUGAGUAGUACACAGUAAAAUUAGAAUACGAACCUGUAUCGAAUAUAUCAAGUAUCUGUUUCAGGCAUUUGACAAUCGACAUGGAUAGAUACUGAAUCAGACCCCUCUAAUAUGUUUUAAACCUAAAACAGACAUCUUCUAACUCCAUGUUAUAGUAGAUCAUGCAUAUAGUGCUCCAUGACACAUGACUGCUCCACAACAAGUACCAUUAUUGUAUGAUUAAAUUGUCACAUUUCCUAAUCUUCACGGAAGGAUAUAGGAGAAAUAAGAUGCUUUAAAUCAUGGUCUAUAUCGCAUCAAUGUCCAUGAAAGAUAUUAAAAUUUCAGUCAAACAAAUAUAGUCUCACAAAGAUUAGCUGCAUUCCGUAUACAUAGUUAUUGCUCCAUCAUCACUAAAUAUACACAUAUUGUGAUGCAAGAGCAAAUUUAAUAUACAGAUGUUGCUAGAGACGGAUUUGUUAUUCUAUACCACUACUUGUAUAAAAAAAAUUCCUUCAAUUGUGUUUUCAUUCAUGUUGUUUCCUAUCAUCCAUUUUCACAAAAGAGACGAAAGUUCACUCAAACAAUCUAAACCAUUAGAAACAUAGCUGCAUUAUGUACACAAAUAUUGCUUCAUCAUCAGUCACUGUUACAGUGGCUCAUGUGAUUCAACAGCAAACUUACAUUGUUAUAAUGCUACAGGUAGAUUUGUAGCUCCAGAUAUGUUAUACUUAAUAUAAAAAAAAUAUACCCUUUAGUUGUGUUUUCAAUCCUGUUGUUUUCUAUCAUCUAUUUUGUCCAACACAAUUCUACUUCAGCAGUUAAAUCUUUUCAUCAACUUGUUUCUUUUUGUGUACGAACAGUGACAAGUAUUUGGGGUUUAGUAGCACUUCAGCUUGCUGAUGAAGAAUUUUUACCUUUUGAUUAUCUGUCCUAUGCCAAUGAGCUGCAGGUAUGUUUCCUAUAGUGGAGAAAUGAGUAUAAUAUACCUGCUUCUACAAUUGAAAGUAAUCUAAUCUUUUGAUUGUUUGAUCCUGUAACUAGAGAAGUGUGGAAGACUUGAAAAUUGAGUUGUCAGAAAAGGGCAUAAAACUAUUUCCCUUAUUUAACUCUAUCAAGGAACUGAGAAUGGCAGCGACUAAAAUUGCAAACGAGAUAAAGGUACAUCUCCAGCUCUAUUAGUCAAAAACUUGGUAGAGAUCUCUAAGUGUGCUAAAUUUUAUUGAUAGAAGCACAAUUCAUUAGGUGCUACAAGACAGAAAUGUUUGGGCUUCUGUAUCAAAAAAUGACCACUACAAAGUAAGAGAAUUGAAUGACAGACUAAUGAUGGCAGAGCGAGCAUUCACUGACCGCGAAGGACUUCCUGGAAGGACAUGGUACAAGCAUUUGGUAAGCUUCUUUAAAUCACCUGCAAGUGACCUUGUUGUAGCUAAUUAAAAAUUCAGUUAAGUGCUUGUUAUUUCACCUUGAUUGAAGGUUCUUAUUUUUCUUCCAUUACAAAGCACAAAAAUGACAUCUACUUAGACCAAAGAAUUUCAGGAAAGAAUAAUCACAAAAGCAUUUGGAACAUCUAGCAUACCAAAAUGCGUGCAGCUGAAAAUGACACUUUUGAUAACUGAAACCAAAUACUGACUGAUGCUUUAUAUCAUUCAGAUAUUUGCACCAUCAAAGCACAAUGAUUAUGGUUCUAAGUACUUCCCUGGAAUAGAUGAUGCCAUCGAAAAGGCCAAAAGCAUUAACACCACAGACUUGUGGCUUGCAGUACAGCAUGAAGUCUGGAGAGUAUCUAGAGUGAUUAAACAUGCUUCACUGGUCCUCAGUGGUCAGUUAACAUGACUACCGUCAUCUUAUACCCCUAAAUUCCACGUGUGUAUUUGCUAUUAAUACUAAAACAAUUGGGUGACAUCUGGUGGACUUGCUUUAGUUCAAGACUGAAUCUGGGGAUUUUAUAUUGCAUUUUGUUUUUUUUCUUAGGUAUACUAUUGACUGUUCCUCAUUUGACUCACUAAUGGUUAGGAAAAAGAACUUGAUGGUCACAAAGGGAGAUAACCUGUAGUUAAGCUAAACAUGCAAACGCCCAAUCUGAGACCAUUUCUAAUAACCAUGUAGUCCAAGUCCUAGCUGCAUGAUACAAAAUUCCAACAUAAUUUCUCAGGGAAAUGAUUGGCAACUAAAUAUUUUACAGUUUAUUCUUGAUUUCUCAAAUUUGGAAAAUCAGUCUAUUGGUGUGCUUCCAUCUGAAGUGAAAUUUUCAAGAUCAAUACCACAGACAGGCUCUCACAAUGCCUCAAAAAUUUCCAUCCAUCAUUAUUGCAGUUAUCUCAAACGGGAGAUAAAUCCAAUAUUUAAAGAACUUCAUAGUGGUUGAGCAAACAAAAUACUACCUAAUCCUGAGUCCAACAGCACUAUAACAAAUUCUUUUGACAGUUUCACAGUUGAGCCAGUAAUGUGGCCUAGGCCAACAAAUAAGAAUUAAAGUUUCAAAAUUAGAGGUCUAAAUGGAGUACAACAGUUUCUGACAUACUGCAGUACCAAGCUAAAGGAAAGUUGGAUGUCAACACAAAUGAAAGCAUCAUUUCCAUUGCAAAAAGAAGAUAUACAUGUCACAAUAUGCUCAUUAAGCUGUACAACUAAAGCUAGGUUAGAAAUGUAAAGCAGUUAGGAACACAAAAAUCUGUAUUUCAGAUUUGGUAAAUACUGUACAAUUAUUUCUACUGAACCUACAAUAUAUACAAUGAACAACAGUUAUUUCCGAGUCCUCUACUUCCAAACCUUAAUUGCACCAUCCCUACUGCUCGAAAUCAGAAGCCUCUGGUUCAGCUUCACAGAAGCCAAAGAGAGGACAGAAUCACGGUGACAUCCUGCAGAAUCAGUGGCAGCACCAGCAAGGAUAGUCUUUGUGGUCAAUCUCAUUGUCAAAGGUCGUCUUCUGCCCUCCUGUUUGUAAAAAAGAUCAAUAUAAAUUAGUAGGCCAUCAUCCCAGAACAUAAGUGAGGGGCUAUUUCUCGUCCAAAUGCAGCUAGGUAAGUUUACAAUCACAGGCAAAAAGAAGAAGCGAUAGAGAACCAUUGAACUAAAGAAAAUCUUCAGUUUGAAAACGUACGACAUUUGAAUCCAACACUACCCCCCCCCCCGGGGGGAAAAAAAAGCCCAACCAUCAGUCCAGUUUUCUCCUUCCAGGCAUGGCCCAGGAUUUUAAACUAGUACCUUUACAAUGAGAAGGGAAGAAACUUCUCAAGGAUUGCCAAAAAAACAUACAACUUAAGAGUCCCUAAUAAUUCUGAAUAGAAGCCUACCCAAAUUUUUGAGAACUUCAUUAGAAACAAUUCAUGUCCCAAGUAAAAAAGAGAAACAAAUCAUGAUGAUGCCAUUAACAUACCUGCACAACUUGCACACCGUAGUAAGACUUUGUCUCAAAACUAUCAUCAUUUCCAACUCCCUUUAUAGAUGGUCCACAUACACAAUAACUUCGAUCAGGGCUGAAGCAUAGAUAUGCAAGGGUCAAUAGAAUUGCAAUGACUGCCCAAAUGCAUAAAGAAAAUUAGAAAAUGUACCUGGAAUGGUCCCAGCGACGUAUUUUCAAGUCAGUACCCCCUGUCAAUAGAUCCCCGCCUGGCAACGGAAGUAAAGCACGGAUGCCAGGAAGACGUGGAGGUGGUUCAUUCAACUCAUCGAUUCUAUAUUUCGAAUUAGCACUUAGCCUGAUAUCUGAUUUGGCAUUCCCCUUGCUGGAUGCUCUGGCUAAUGCCCAAGGCGAGUCAGAAAUUUCAGCAUCCGUCUCAUUAUUUGCUACCCUCAACACCUGCAAAAAGCAGAAUAAGUAGCACAAAAAUCCACCAGUAUAAAAGCACGAAAUGUUAUUGCAGUGAUUGAACGACAGGUGCCAACUGCUCAUUCCAUUCAUCAGUCUAACUACAAUAUCGGGGUUUCGUAUAUCUUAUUCGAGUGAAUUUCACAUUUAAAAUCUAAUUGUCUGUGACUUCCAAAGUAUCCCAGCACAACAAGUAUAUUCUCUCAAAAAUUACUCCCCAGAUGUACAUUAUACUUCCCCCUCCAAUCCUUCUGUAUCUCCAUAACUAAUCAUCCCUCCCAAGCAUGCAUGUUUACCAGCAAGAACAUCUAUAUGGAUCAUAUUCUUUCUAAAAUACAACAUCACAUCAAUCAAUUUAAUCACAUUCAGUCAAAUUUCACUCUUUUGCUAGAUUCUUUACUAUUUUGUAAAAAGUACAAAGUGAUCCAACUGUACCUGAUGGCAGCUUCCAUUUUCUGCAUUCCAAAGAGAAACUUCAUUACACCCUGCUGCAACAUAAACAAGAGGUCUGGUAGAUAGGGAGAAGGAGGUACUAGGAGGAGGAACAAAAAGGCUCAUUUUCUCAAUUGGGCAUGCAAGAGAAUACUGCCAUGAAUUGACAGGUAUUCCAAACCUCAAAUCCCAAAGGGUAAGCACGCCUCUUGAUGACCCAGUGACAAACCAGUUCCCACAAGGAUCUGCAACCAGAGAAGAUACAUAACCCUCCUCAGGGACCACUUUUGAAUUCCAAACAUUUGAACUUGUUCUUGUAUCCCACAGAUGAAUUCCACAAUUCUGGGUACUGUACAAAAUCAUUUUGCAAGCACCACCAUCAGGGGAGUAGUUCAAAAGGUUUAAUAUAGCACCUUCUCCAACUCCGUUCUUUUUAACAUCAGCUAUGCCUGAAUAUUUCUCCACAACAUUGCCCAGUCCCCCGGAUAUGUAAUCAACAGAGAACAUGUGUAUAGCUCCAUCACAAGCUCCAACAACAACUUGAGCAGAACCCUGGAUCACAGCAACACACAGUGCUCGACUUCCAUCUAAAGAAUAAGUUAGGCGCGACCUGAAUGAGAUAUCUUUUUCUAACCUUUUAGAAUCCCAAAUUUUAACAGUAGAAUCUUCAGAUGCACUUACGAAAAAGCUAUGGUCAGUGGAAACAGCUAUGUCAUUAACAGCAGAGUGGUGAUCCUGGAGAUGCGCAACCAACACCCCACGAGGCCUCCACCCUGAAUCUGGAAUCGUCGAUGUUCGCCCAAAAGAUGGUACAUCUGCACCCUCACUUGAAGCAGAAUUACUUUCAAUUGAAAGGGAACUCCCUUUUGUUGUACCAGACACUCCCAUUUCCAGAAACUUGUUAUUUACAAAGGCUGUUUGAUCCAUUUCCCUGUCUUCAACUUCAUGUACAACCCUUCGCAAUUGUGUGGAACCACCACCAAUGCUGAUUGAGCCUGAGAUAAACUUAGGAGCUGGAUCUGAAUUGGCCAAGCUAAAUGAUUUACUAACUGGAUCCAUCCAUGGCAAGGAUGCAGAACCAAAACCUAAAGAACCACAUGGUAAUGAUGAAUCAGAGACUGUUGGAGAGCCUGCAGCUCGUUUGUUAUCAACUUUAAAGUAAUACAAAGGAAUGCCUUGUGAUGAUUUCUCCAUUAAACUGUUCAUUCCACUAAGAGGUGGAGAGAUAAAACCGGGCAACUGCAACUUUUCAGAAUCCAGGAAGUCGCCAGAAUCCAUAGCCAUAGGACUUUGCACUGAGUUGCCCACAACUUUUGAAUUCUGGUCAUUAUCAUUACAAUCUGCAAGAUCCAGAGGCAGAUUUGCACGUUCAACAACUUUAUUGCUCUGAAGAUCUCUUUGUCGGUCAGACCAGCACAUCAUUGGAUCCAGCUCCUUCACCCCUCUCUGAAGAAAAUCCACUGUUUCCCAAUUUUUAGCCUGUGAGUCACUGUUGUACCAUAUUUUUCGCUGUCUCUCCAGCAUGUCUGAGCUCCUGGCACUUUCUAAAACACGAUAGUAUCUCUCUCUUGACACUGGCGGCUCUAGGCAUGAAAAAAGAGCCUUUUCUGAAGCUAAAGAUGCUGGUUGUCUACGCAGGAAGGUGCGUAUAACAGGCACAAGGAAAACAUAUGAAUCUACUGCACCUAAACUCUCACUGCUAGCUGCAAUGAAUGUGACAUCGGCCCUCCUGACCCAUUGACUAGGAUAACACAACAGUGGAAAAGCGUGUUCUAUCAUCUCAAGCAAGAUUCUCUUCCUUAGAAAUCCACUUUUGCAUAAAAUAGCUAGGCAUUCCAGUGCAUUCACAAUUACAGCCUCAGUUACAUCGCUUAAAGCCUGCUCAAUGUAUGGCAAAAGAUAUUCCUCGACACUCCUUUGUCCCACGAAAAAGCAGACAUAUAUGAUCUGUCCAUAAAACACUGCCCUGAGUUGCUCAUCUCGGUCAUUUAGGAAAGCAGGGAGGAUGGGCAACAAGAAAUCAUUACUCUGCCUCUGGCCAAAAAACCAGCAAAGAUUGCCAAUGUCAUGCAGGAGUGCUCUCCUGAUAUUUGGUGUUUGCUUUGGGCCCAUCACAAGUUCUUGAAUGACAUCCGCAAUAGACUUCCUUAAUUGCACAAGCUGUGCAUCACUAUUUGGACUGUAUCUCCUUCCAGAUGUAUCAGAGGAUGUAGAGAGUGACUUCUGUGGCGAACUUGAUUCACUGAGAACUCCUGCCUCACUCAAACUUAUAGAGUGAAUCAAAAACCCAUAAGCAGUAAGUGCCAGCUUAGAUAUAUUGCUUGCAUAACAUAUCCUUACACUUUCCUCUGGAUCAUCAGGGAGCAUGGAGAGCAUUGGAAGAAUAUACUCGGGAAAAAUUUUAGCAUCACUGGGUGGAAAAUCUCUGACUAAGGGAAGAAUGUCACAUAAAGUCUCUAGGGCAGCACAACGCACAAUUGCAGCUGGAUCUGAGAGCAUUGCAAUAACAUAUGGAAGCACACGCUGCAAUCGAUCUUCAUCAUCAAUGUAUAAGGAACACGACUUCAAUAGAAGCACAGCUCCUCUCCUCAUGAAUGGCAGUUUGACAUUUCUUAUGCAAGAACAGAGCAAUGAGGCAAUCAGAACCAUACCUUCACAGCUCAUGAUAUCUUGAGGUAAUGGUAGAAAAGGCAUACCAAAAGUGUCUGACUGGUUGUCAUAAUCCGACAUUAAUGAGUUCAAAUCACUUGUUGUUAUCUUUCUUAAGAAGGGAUGGUGACUUCUGUUAAAUAUAUUAGAGAUACUCUGAAUCAGCUCAUCAGGAGAUUGCACAUCACACUGCUUUCUGUUUUGAGAAUAUGCAGAUCUAGCCACACCUUCCAGCAACGGUUUCAUGCUAUGAAAUCGAUUAUUUUCCUUCACAUCCCUGAGUAGAUUACCAACAUCACCAAGAAGAUCAAACCUAUCAUGAAUCGAGCCCUUAUCCACCUUUUCUCUUUUGCUACUGGUGUCCUUCUCCACAUUUGUAUUAUGUUGUGCAUCUGUCCCAUGCAGAGAUUGAUGCAUAGCAUCUAAAGAAAGCGCCUCCCCAGAAACAGUCUCCUUGACUACACUACUGCUCAUCAUUUGUCUAAGAAUCUCUUGAAAAGACGUCUGGCAUAUUAAAACCUACACCAAGGAACUUUCUAAAUAAGCUUGAGCACAGCGUAAUUAUCACCAAGAUAAAGAUCAAGCACCAAAAAUGCCUUACCCUUGCAUCAGAAUUAAGGGGAUUCAACAAGGAAUAGAAAUUGUGGAGAAAUGGAGAGAAGUAGCCAGGAAACACAAUGCCAGAGAAGUUCUGCAGAUAGCUUUCAGCAGAAAAACGUGCCUCCGGAUCCAAUUGAAUCAUAUGAAGAAUCAUCUUGCGGAUUCCUGAAUCUGGAAUCUUUAUGCAAACAAGAUAAAGACCAAAAAUAAAAGUUAAUUUAGAGAUUCAAUAAACACUCUAAGUGGACUAGUAGGCAAACACUUCAACCUAUAUAGUGAAGUCAAUGUUCCAUGAAAUUUCUUGAAAGAGAUUAAUUGGGAAAAUAUGAUGACACAAGAAGAAGCAGAGAAAGGUCCUUUGGUUAGAGCCAAGUUAAAAUGGCAUUGACUAGAUCUUACUUUUUCUAGAUGUUGGCUAGGAUCAUAUUGUCCUCUACGAUAAGCAAGCAGUUGAGACAACUCAAACAAUGGCUGACCCUCGAGGAAUAGCUCAGCUAUUACACACCUGAAGCAAGAACAUGAAAUUGAAGAAAAGUGUAAAUCCAUUGUAUCACAAGGCAAGAGCUUAUUGCCAUAUAGAUAAAGACAUCCUCAUCAAAGAUUUGUGCCUCAACCAUAAAAGCAACCAUCCAAAGCCAAAAAAGUCAAGAAAAUUAGUUUGUGAACUGCUUUGUAUAACGUAAAAAGAGAACCUCUUGACCCAACCAAUAUGUAUAUACCAAUAAAAUGUAGCAACUAAAGCAAACAAAACUUAAAAUGAUAGACCACAACUGGAUUGCUUGGAUGAAAUAUGUAGAAAUGAUAGUAAUUAAUUUGAUUGUGCUCUAACAUGAACGCUCACUUGAGGGCUGUACAUGAUUAUGCAAGCCCAAUUAAUCUCCUAUACACUAGCAGUGUCUGUCAGGCCUGGAUGCAUGACAACUAAUUUUAAUUUCAAUUUGAAAUCCAAGUUUUACAUGGCAAGCACCCAAGGCCAACAGUGCAUUCAUUGUCGGUGCAUAUAAGAUUAAUCCAUAGACAAGAGCUAAAACAAAUGCUGUUGAUCUAGAACCCUAAUCUCUUUUUCAGAAAUACCAAUUUGAUUACCACAUGAUAUAGAAGUAUAAGUUAUUGCAAAGAACUUUGGUUGUUUAUGGACUCCUGCAAAAGCAACUGAUGUGAAGCGCAUCACAUUCCUUGAAUGGGUUUGGGGCAAUUUCAUUGCUGUUGUUGAGGAAUAAAUCAUUGAUCUACUUGUAGGAUUUGAUACAAAAGGUAAAAGAAUCUUUACCCAAUUUUAUUAAAGAUCUAUUGUCACCAAUGUACUGUAUUAAACAAAGAAUCUCACAGAUCAACAUAGUCCUACUACUUUCACAUACUUCAUCCAUGUGGGCCAAUUAUAAGUCCCAACCACACUUUAGUCAGCCCCCACAAAAAAGAACACAUUUUUUUCUCCAUGUUUUGACUUACUUAGUAAGGUGACAAUGUUAUUUGGCUAUUUGCACAACAGCAAGAUCGUCAAAACAAAAGAUGAACUUGCACAGCAAGCUAAAAGCUACAAGAUGUGAGUUCAAGGAAAUAACCUGUUCGAGCUUGCCAGAUCAAGUCAUUCAAAGUAACAGGCAGAAAGAGGGUAGAAAAUGAUACUGUUCAUAUAUAGCGCAAAGUCCAGGAUGCCAGAGAGAUACUAUCAUCUAUGUCCAAUAAGAAACAAUGAUUCCCACUCACACAAACGAUUUCAGACAAGUUUCUGACACAUAUCAAGCUCAGAUCCAGAAUUCCAUCAAAAGAUGAAAUGACUAUUGUUUUAAAAAUGUAAAGCAAGACACAAAAGUAGAAAUUUUAUCAUAUAAUAAAGAAAGACAAACAUGUGAUACUAUCAUCUAUUUAAUAAAAUAUCAAUAAGACAAGCAAUGUUCCUUAGAUGGAAAAACAAAUCCUGGAUCAAGAAACAUCUUAUUGUUAAGUUAACAUAAUCAGAUACUUUACUUCCAAGUUCAGGUUCUUAUAAAACAUCAGUGAUAUUUAUGCUCAAGCAGCAUAUGCAGGUAUAAGUAAAUUAAAAUUUCAGGGCAAACAAAGACUUGCACAAGGAAAAAAUUAUUCUUUCAAAAUGGGAAAGAAGGUCUCAUCAUAUCUUCAAUUCAGUAAAUUGCAAUCUAGUGUGUGCAUUUGUGUAUUUCAAUUCGCAUAAAUAAUUUUAAAAGCAUGUAUAAGUUUAGUUAAUGCCACUUCUCAUGUACUGGGAAAAGCAUAUUUACCACCUUUAGGCAUCACAUUAGAUUUCUCAAGCACCACUGCCCAUGCUUUUACAAGACAACAACCCUCUUGGCAAUAAAACAAAAGCAGUGCAAGGGGCUAAUAUAGAACAAUUUGCAGCAGAAGGGGCACUAAACUUGUUAGUGAUAUAGGCUGAAGCCAAAGAGAAAAUCUGGAACUUAAACAAUAACCGGGAAGUAAAGGAUUCUGGGUCAAUUGAUAAAAAAUUAGCAUAGGCAGCAACAAUUGUCUUUUGAUAGUAUUGCAAAAGAAAAGACCCACAUUGACCAAAAAAUCAACUGUCACAAUACAUGUUGCCACUUUCAACACAAUUUCCACUUAUCUGCACACUGACGUAAACAUGAUUCUACUACUAUGGAGCAUUUAAGAAGCAAAUGCUCCUUGAAUACCAAAACUUCAAGAACCAAAGCGAUAAAUUAUUUCCAGUGUAUUUUUUAAUAAAGUAAUCUUCAAUUCCAAAUUAUCAGCUCAAAUGCAGAAAACUUACCCUACAGCAAAGAUGUCCAUUGAUGGUUUUAAUGGUGCAUCUUGAGCAACUUGCGUUUCACCUCCAUGCCCAUAAAAUCUCUGAAAAAUGAAAGCAACUUCUAUUAGUGAGUAUAGACAAAAGGCAACUGUCACAUUCACUAAAUGCAAUUCUCUCUCUCUCUCUCUCUCUCUCUCUCUCUUCAUUCAUUUUCUUUGUAGAAAAGAACUUCUAAUAUUUCACAGUCUAGUUAACCAUGCUAUAAAUAACCAAUUUUCCAUUUGAAAGAGGAAAAGAAUCAAUCAAUACUUGGUAACAAUUUGAUGAUCAUGUGUCAUGAAUGGUCAACAUAGGAUCAAAAUUAAUCUCCAGUCCGAAUUAGUCUUACAGGGGAUGAUAAUUUCGCUGAUUGUGACCAUUCAGGUGAUCCAUACUUCAGGUAUUGGAUUCUUCUACAAGACUUUUGUUUUUGCCUUUUAUUUUCUACACUUCCUAAUGCAUUUUGCUUCCCAUCAUCAUUAGCAUAAUGUUUAUGUCCUUUCUGCACUAGAAGAAACCUAAACAUAUGUUGUUGUACCUAACAGACAAGGAGAAAAGAAAGUCCAUUUAUUUGUCUUCUUAUAUCCAUCCAUAACCUUAUCACAACUGUGAUCAUGAAUCCAAUAAAGCUUACAAAGGCAGCUGCACAAACUAAACAUAAAUGGUCAGGGCUACCAAGAAAGUUGUGAAAAUUGAAAAACAAUAUUUAUCGACCAAAAAGUUCGAGAAGAGUUUCCUUGUUUUACCUUAAUUGGACAAAGGGAGAACUCUGAAGUAAGAGAUCUAGAUGUCAAAAAAGCAAUUAAUAUGAAAUGUCUGUAGUAAUGAAUUUCAAUUUUGUCAAGGGGGCGAAAAAACACACAGUUACGUAAUUGCACAUAGAUUCAGCAAGGGUGUCAUUUAGUAAUUGUCAUGGUAAGUGCUGUUUCCUUAAACAUAAAUAAGCCGUCUGCCUUGCACUAAUAGGGGAAAUUACGAAUGUUUAGAAAGUUCAUCUUCAAAAGGACAAGGAGGAGGAAGCAAUAUUUGGUUGUUACUAGUUGUCAGGCAAAUUAAGAAAACCACUCCAUCGAACUAAAAGAAUCACCAAUAAAGCUGAUCAAGAUAGUCAAGUACUUUUAUUGUGAGUUAAGCUAGUGUCUUUGAAAAGAAAUACAACCAAAAACUCAUUCUAGCACUAUGUAUACAGACAACCAAAAUUAACUUUUCAUCUGAAAUUGGAUCUCACCAGCACAAACGAAUAGGAAGCAGACAACAUUCUCCAGAAUACACCAAAAAGGUCAUUCUUCUAGGGCACUUCUUACAGAAAAUAAGAAGUUACUUCCAUUAGUCACCAAAAGGAAAGAAGUUGACUCAUAUUAGGCAGGCCCUUUUAAAAAAUGAGAAAUAUAUGUUGUUAACUGCAUAGUGUUUCCCCCUAUCUUUAUGUUUUAUGACACCAGCCAACUGAAAGGUUGAAAGUCAGCCACUCUAAUCAAACAAGCAAUCCAUUAACAAUAUGAAAAAUCAUGACAAGAAGUUCAUAUAUCUAGCAAAACUUCUCUGCCAAGCAAUUUUAUACGUCCUCCCAGACCUGAAUAAUGAAAAGCAUUGUUUGGAUUGAGAUGAUUUCAGAUAAAAUAAUUUGCUUCACAAAUUCCAAUUACCUUUUUAUCUUCCCAGUCACCUUUUUAUCUCACAUACAUCACAUCAUAAAAAGCGCUACAGUAAUUAUCUCAAAUAAAUCAUCCAAAUAAACUCCUAUCCAAACAAACCCUCAUAACUAGAAUCCAAAUUUAUUUCAUUAAGCAAAAACCAGAAAGGUACAAUCAUAAAGCAAUGCGCCAAUGAAAAAAUUAGCAAUUCAAAGUAACAGAAGAUCUAAGCAAUUUUAUGAUCAUCUCAACUGUAUCACAUUCUAGGCAGGAUAUUGCCAAAAUCCCAAGGCUUAUGAGAUGCUUUAAAUUUGUAUUAGCAUUAACCCCUAUAGUACUAGGACGAAAAGUUUAAUUUGAAGUCAAGAACUAGAAAAGCUCAAACUAAAAUAUUAUUUCCCAUCCUGCAUAUGUUAACAUAGAUUUUCACAUAAAUAUUAGAUGAAUUACAAAAUUAAAUUAAAUUAAGCUUAUCUUGCUAAAUCUCUGGUUGGGAAAAAAAAAAGAUUAACUAGAAUAAGAAACCAACCUCAGGAGCAAGGUAACACCGCCUUCUUCCACCAGUGUCAAAGAAAAACGAAAAAUCAGAAGGAUCAUCAUGUGGAAUAUACGUCGGUUUGAAUGAUGCAAAAUCAGCAAGAUAAAGCCAGUUCCAGGAAGUAACCAGAACAUUCUCACACUUAAUAUCACCUGCAUCAGAUUAAAUUAAGUUACUUCUUCCUAAGAAUCAAUAUAAUGUUGCUAACAGAGGAGAUUAAAUUUACACUUAUCUUACCAUGACAAACUCCAUUUUCAUGGCUCUGUUUUGCAGCAUAAAGCAGCUGCAAGACCAAAAAUUUCAUUAAGCCCUAACUGCAACUAAAAGACUAACACUGCAAUGAGAAGAAAGAAAGAAACCUGAAAAGCCAGCCAUUUCUUCUCAACAAGACUGAGGAAAGGUCGAGUGCUCAACCGAUCAUGAAGAUUAUUAAAAAAGUAUUGCCUCAACAAGUAGGCAGCUUUGUCAGUUUCAAGCCAAAACUGCAGCAUACAACAUUUGCAAAAUAAGACCAUUUUAAGCCACCAAAAAAGCAAGAAAACAAAACAAUCAUAAAGUCUUAAACUCCUUAAAGCGACUAAAAACCACAAUUAUUCAAUCAUUCAGAAGGAUUCAUCAGUCAAUGAGACAAUUAAACAUCUAAAUGUAGAUAAAGUAAAAGCCCUCCUUUUGGUGUCAAAAAUUACUGUCAGUUUAUGUCACACCAAAACUGCCCUUUAGAGUUAGUAUUAAAACUACUCAAAUCUACUUUCAUUUUACAUCAUGAUCUCAAAAACAGUAGCUUCAUUUAUUAAGAAAAAGAAAAGGGCAAUAUAACCAUCUUUCCAGCAAGCACAGGCAUAGGAUAUGCCAUAUACACUAGUCUCCAGAAGUUAUUUCUGCCUUUCUUCAUUUUCAGUCGAAACUUCAGGGAAUUCGAAACCUAAAUUUAUGGUCAUCACCUAAACACAUUCCUACCAAAUGUAAAAGGAAGAGAAAAAAAAAAGAAUGCAAAGUAUUUCCAUCAAAGUAUCAGCCUCGUGGUGCCCCCAAAUUCCAAUGAAAAAAACAAUUUCAGACUGACAUGAAUGAUUUACAAAUUUGUCUUUAUAAACCUUCAAUUGGUAGCAUAAACUAAAUUAUUUUAAAUAAAUACUACUUUACAAACACUAUUUUUCCCUGAGCUCCACUUUCUCCUAAUACCCAUAUUGGUAAACCAUAAUUCUACCUAGCUUGUAACAAAGUAACCGGGAGAAAUUCAAAUAGCAGCAUCACUUUGAUAAAGCAUUAAUCUGAUGCAACUCAUUUCCGCCACUGAUGUCCAUUGCUUUUGGCAAUCCCAAAAGGAACACUAGUUCCCAGAGCUCGACUAUGAACACGAGCUUAAUAUUUACUUCUGGCCCUUUGCUUACUACAUAUUACGCUCUCAUUUAACUGCUUUAUAAGAUGCUGCAACCAAAAAUUAAAAUGCAUCCCUUUUAUUAAAUAUGCUUCACACUACAAUUUCUCUUCCACGUUCUUCUAAGGAAUGAAGUACUAAUCUCGGCAAGGGUGAUACCAAUUUUAGCCCUAUCCUCAAACUAAAAUACAAUUAAAAUCAAUUCACAAAUAUCAGUGCGAAGGUGCAUUUAUGUACAAAUAAAUGUACUUCAGAGUAAAAGUAGAGGCAGACCUGGAAGGGCCAGACAUGAGGGUGAUCGAGGCCAGUGAAUACACCGCGAAUUUGGGAGAGGCGGCGCUCGUAGUCGCGUAAGUCAAUGGAGUCCCCUCUUUUGAAAUAAACCUUGACUAGCACAAGUCCUUCGUCGUGCUUGCACAGGAUCGAUUUCAGGAAUCGUCCUCGGCCCAAGACUUCUUUCAAUACUAAAUUAUAAGAAGACGGUAAAUCGUGCAGGUAAUACUCCGUCGCCGAAGCUUGCGUUGUUCGCGCGAUUUUAUUCCCCAUUCUGAGCUUGUGUUGUUUUCCCUCCAAGCGUUUGAAUUAGCUAGGGUUUUGUUUUCUGUUUUGCUUUUAAUUGUUUCUUUCACAUUGCGCAGGUCCGGUUUAACGGUGACCGAAGCGCGGCAGAGAGGGGGAUCGGAGGCGGAGGUGGUGAUGGGAAGGGACGGAAAAGGGGGGAGCUGCGGUUGCGUGGGACUGUGUGGCGGAAGCAAGGUAAUGCUACUGCAGCGGAUCGUUAAUUUUCCAGUGGUUUAUUGCCAUGUCAUCAACGAUUUGUUUUCACGUCUUGCACAAGAUUGUGAAAAAGCGUGGACGUAAACUAUUCAAUGGAAAUUGCAUUUUCUCACGCUUUUCACCACUCCACUUUUUUUCUUUUUUUUUUAUAAAAAAAAAACCAGUCAAUGCUCUUUGCGGAUAAAUUUUGGCUUCUCCUUUUGUUGUGAAUUCUUGUGCUUUGUGUUAUAAGUAAGUUAUUAAAAAUCAAAUGUCAUAAUUCGGUCAAUCAUUAGAAAUUAAACAUUAAUGGUGUAAUAUAUCGUAUUGUUUUUCAUAAUUUAUACCAAAAUCCUACUAUUAAGCAAUAAAUUGCCUUCCAUAUAUUAACAAAUCAUCCAAAAUCCUAGUAUCGGGUAUUUCUACUAAAACAAGUUUUUUAAAUAUAAUGUUACAGUAUUACACAAUAACUCAAAAAAUAUUUUAUCCAUACAAUAUAUCAAAUAUUUCAAAAAAAAAUUAUAUACACUGUUACAGUAACAUUUUUCAAAAACAUUCCAAAAAACAACUAAUCCAAACGGAACUAAUAAGGGUGCCUUUGGGAGUUGAGGGUUUGGACUGAAAAGAAAGGGAGAGAAGAGAAAAUCUGAUUUUCCUUUGUUUGUGAGUUUUUAGUAAGAAGGAAAAGAAAAAAAUGGGAGGAUGAAUAGUAGAUAAAAUUUUUCCUCCCAAAUUGAAAAGAAAUGAAGAGAAAGUUAGAGGAACCUUAUAAAAUUUUUUUAAAAUACUUAUUUUAUCCUUAAAAAUGUCUUGAACAAAUAUAAUGACUUUCAUAUCCAAAAUCAUUCCACUAAUUCUCAAAACUCCCAAAUAACAUAACAAUCCCUUCUCUCCUCUCGUAACUUAAGUUCUCCCUUCUUCACUUUUCUAUCCUAAACUCCCAAACUUAGCCUAAGUGUGUAUUUAUAUCCUUUUUUGUUCUUUUGAAGGUGGCUAGCAUUCUCGAUAAAACAUAAGAAGUUCUCCGAUGCAAUUAGGAGGAGGUACUUGCAAAUAAAACAAUAGCUUCCCCCAAUCAAACUAUUAAAGUUCAAGCCAAGUCGUGCAAGCACAAUUAGCGCAAAUCUUCAACGUUACGUGUUAGAUACUUGGAUAUAUCUGUGAAAUGUUUUUUCGUGGAAUUAAACUUCUGCAAAUAUGAAUCAAUUAUUAAAUAAAAGAAAUAAAUUGAUUUCCUUUUUGUGCCCUUAUCGCCAUCAUAUUUACCUAUUCCCUGUAAUUUGCUAGGCUUGAUUAGAUUUAGAAGCAAGUAAAACAACGUUCUCAAUCGCGAGGAAGAAACCAUUCGAUCAUCAAAAAGAGUACGCCCAUAAGAAUUCCACACAGUAUGGAUUCACAGAUCGGACAACUCAAGGAACAGAAGAACGCACAAGAAUUUAUUUAAUAUGGUAAAUCACAGAUCACCAUAGAUUCAUAUAUCUAGGUAUAAUCAAAGGCGUAUUUACAUUUCCAAGUUCAUAAAAAACAAAGAAAUCAGAAGAUCAACAUUUGAUAAUCACAGCCGAUGACGAUGACGAUGAUAUUUAUGAUCUUCAGUCUUCGUUCUUAAUAGGAUCUUCAUAGUUGGGAUCAUUUACGUCGAGAGCUUCUUUGUGGAUCCGUCCUAGCUCAGCAUCGGAGUAACCGUCACCGGACCACGUGAACUUGCCGCCAUGGCCACCUUUCUUCGGCGAUCCAUUCAUGCCUGUAGCCGAUUUCCUGUCUCUCCUGAUCUCCUGACCGUUGCCGGCCUUCACAUUUGUCUUGGAGCUUUUGCCGGAAUUCUUCAUCUGUCUCUCUCCACUCGUGGCUCUUCUGUAUCUACUCUAUCAAUUGAAGCGAGUGAGAACAGGAAACCCAGGUUGGCAGAAUUUAUAGGAAGCUCGGGGGUUUGUACAUUGGGAGCGGUAUUUUAAUCGCGACCUUGUGGGCUGAUCAUGUAACAUGACAGCGACUGUAACAAAUGGAUAAGAACGGACUAUUCUGUCAUUUUUUUAUUUUAUUUUUUUGGGUAUGGGAACAAACUCCGGUUUUCUUUACCAGCCAAAUCAAUGAUCAUACACUCAC